AGAUUAGUGGUUGGACAAACCAAUAUUAAAUUUCACAUAUUGGAUUUUUCUUGUAAUUGUAGAUAACUCAAGACUGUAACCAUGAAUCAUUGGUAGGGUGAUAACAUGGUUAAUAAACUAGAAUUAUUUUUAAUGAGAUUAAGAGAUAAUUCAAUUCUUAUUGGAGCUUGAAAUAUCUACGUCCAAUGCGAUUCUCCACUUAGAGUUCAACUCGUUUAAGAUGGAAUGUGUGUUUAAUUAUUUAUGCAAAUUAAUAUUCAAAUUAGGUAAAUAAGUGUUGCCUUAAUUAAGACAAAAGUUGUUUUAAUUUAGACAAGGUGCAUAUAACUUUUUAAUUAUAAACAUGAGUAUAUGCAAGUUGACUAAGACAAAGGUUGUCUUAAUCAUAUUCUUUUUUAGUAAGUCAAAAUUAUCUUAAUAUAUAAAUAUUUUUUAUAGAAAAAUAUUUAUUAACAUAAUUAUUGACUUAAAAAUAAAAAUAACAAUGGAGGAUAUUUAAUUAUAAAUAUAGCAAGUAAAACUAUUAAUUUUUUAUUUAUAAUUAAUUAUAAUUAUGAGAUAAUUAUAUUACUCCAUGUGUGAUUAGGAUUUUCUUAUUUUAUUAUUAAUUCUUUUUAAUUAAAGAUAGAUAAUAAUAAAAUAGAAUAAUCCUAAUUUGUCAUAGACUAGCAAAUAUUAUUAAAUUAUAAUUGUAGGUGGUAAAUAUUAAUUUAAUUUUAAUUAAUUAAAUUAAAAGGAGUUUUAGGAAAGAAAUAUCUCUCUUAUUUUUAUGAGACUGAAAAUCAGAUUAUAAAUAUGUGUUUUAGCCAAAACCGUAGCUCACCUUCUUUUGACAUAGCCAAACUCCAUCUCUCUCGAGGUUUUCUUCUUACUCCCAUUAGUAAUUUUCUACAAGCCCCACACAAAGAAAAAUUGCCCUAAAAAAAAUUAAGAGAAAACUAUCUAGUUACCAUCUUGAAAAAUAUUCCAAAUCUAGCCCAUUUAAGGUUCGAGAUUGAAAGAUUCUGGAAGAAUAAGUGUUAAUUCAAAAUUGGUUGAGAAUUCUAAUAAUUGGUGUGGUGGUGAAUUUACUACAAUUCACUAGGAGAAAAGGAUCAAAUAUAUUCCUAGCACGUAGUAGGUAAUUUCUCUUACUUUUGAUUUUUUUAUAAUGAUGUGAUUAUUAUUUGAUUUGCAUGAUAUGUGAUUGUGAAUUUUCGCUUAUGUAAAGUGGAUAAAUUGCUUCCAUACCUAGAAAAUUUUUGAAAUCCAUAAGUUACACAAUUACAAGCAUACACUACGAUCCAAAUUAAACAUGUACAUCUUAGAUCAGUUAAGUUAUUAAUUGUACUCCAUAUUUUUUUUAUUUUUGAUUGAUUAGAGCGUCCAAAGCACUCUUAGGGGUUGUUAUAAUUGUUAAAAGUUUAGGUUAGAAGCUUACCUUGUAAAAGCUUGGUGGAAGUUGUUAAUUUCACUAGUUUGGUGAAGUUGGGUUGAAAAUCCUUUAUUGGAAGAUCAAGAUAGUGGAUGUAGGUCAAGAGGACCGAACCACUAUAAAUAUUUAUAUUAUGUCCAUUUCUCUCUACCUUUUUUUUACUUGUUGCCUUUUAGCUUGAACAAGUAUUAAACCUUCCACUUCAAAUUAUAUAGAAAUUUGAAUCAAAUAUAUUCCUAGCACGUAGUAGGUAAUUUCUCUUACUUUUGAUUUUUUUAUAAUGAUGCGAUUAUUAUUUGAUUUGCAUGAUAUGCGAUUGUGAAUUUUCACUUUUGUAAAGUGGAUAAAUUGCUUCCAUACCUAGAAAAUUUUUGAAAUCCAUAAGUUACACAAUUACAAGCAUACACUACGAUCCAAAUGAAACAUGUACUUCUUAGAUCAGUGAAGUUAUUAAUUGUACUCCAUCUUUUCUUUAUUUUUGAUUGAUUAGAGUGUGCUAAGCACUUUAAGGGUUGUUAUAAUUGUUAAAAGUUUAGGUUAGAAGCUUACCUUGUAAAAGCUUGGUGGAAGUUGUUAAUUUCACUGGUUUGGUGAAGUUGGGUUGAAAAUCCUUUAUUGGAAGAUCAAGAUAGCGGAUGUAGCUCAAGAGGACCGAACCACUAUAAAUAUUUAUGUUAUGUCCAUUUCUCUCUACCUUUUUUUUACUUGUUGCCUUUUAGCUUCAACAAGUAUUAAACCUUCCACUUCAAAUUUUAUAGAAAUUUUUAAAGCUUAAAAGCUGCUUUUAAAAUAUCUUUUAAGUGUUAUUCACCCCCCUCUAGCACUCUAUUAGGACCAACAACCCUGACUAGGAGAACCUUUCAAAUAUUUCAAGAUGUUAUAAGCUACUUGUAAGUGUUUAUUCCUUCAUCUAUCCAUGAAUUGAGAAAGAACUUGGACCCCAUACAUGAUAUUUGGUCUAGUGAAUGUGAGGUAUAACAAUUUCCCAACUAACUGUCUAUAAAUGGAACUAUUUACAGCAAAAAUUAUGUAUCAACUACAGUAAUUUUAUGAUUAUAAUCAACUGGUGUAGAUGCUAGUUUUGCACCCAUUAGACCAAGUUCCGUAAUCAAGUCUAAAGCAUAUUUCCUUUGGCAUAGCAACAAACCCUUCUCUAGACAAGAAAUACUUAGGAAUUAACCUUUAUACCUAAGAAAUACUUAAGAAUUCCUAGAUCCUUCAACUUAAACUUGGAUUUAAAGUACUAUUUCCCUUUGGAUUCAACUUCAACAUAAGAACUAGCAAUCAUUUUGUCAUCUACAUACACUAAUAAUGUUACAAAAUUACCAUCAACUAACCUUUUUCUAAACAAAGAAUAAUAUGUUUUUGAUUAGAUAAAGCCAAAUUGCAAUAAGGUGGCUAAAAAAGGAAAAUUUUUAUAUAAGUUUUAGGUGAAUCUAGAAGCUAGAGAUCCAUCUCAUAAAGAAAGAGCAUUCCAUUGUUUGGAAGCCUGCUUAAGUCCAUAAAAAGAUUUUUGUAGCUUGUAUACUAAUCUUUAGCCAGGUGGACAUUUCUCCUUAGCUCCAAAACCUUGAGGUAACUCCAUGUAUACAUCCUUAAGAAGAUCACCAUGUAGAAAAGCAUUAUUAAUAUCUAAUUGGGACAAUAACCAGCCAUGAAUUAUAAUUAAUGCCAAAAAUGGCCCUAUUGUUUUAUGCUUUGCUAAAAGGCUAAAAGUGUCUUGAUUAUCAAAUCUCUCUUUCUAAGUGUAGCCUUUAGCUAUUAUUUUGGCCUUAUACCUUUUGAUGCUGACAUCAACUCUCAUCUUGACCUUAUUCACCCAUUUAGAACCUAUAACCUUAAAAUUAAUAAGCAUAGGCAUAAUAGUCCAUGUAUUAUUCUCAACCAAAGCAUUUAAGUUAAAUUUCAUGGCUCUCUCCACUAUGCAUGAUGGACAACUUGUGAAUAAUAAGUAGGUUUUAUGACGUGAGAUAAUUUUGUGGUGAAUGCCUUAUAAGUAGGUGAAAGUUGGUUGGUAGACAAAAAUUUUGUGAUAAGAAUAACUUUAACAUUAAAAAAAAGGAAAGAAGCAGACAUUGGAAAGAUUCUAAGUAUUUAGGUAUUUGUUUGACUUUAUGCCUCUUUUCGGAUUUUUUAGAUUAGGGGAAGAAUAAAAAUUGUCAAAGGAAGGAGAAGUUUGAGCGAAAGUGGAGAAAUCUGUGUGAACAAAGUCUGUAUGGACAGAUUCGAUAUGAAUAGGCUCUAUGUUAUUUGGUAGGGUAAGAGUUUAGGGUGAAGGUAAAACAUCAAAGUAACUAUCAGCCACAACAAAUGAAGAUAAAGUUACACAGGAAUGUAAUGCAGAACCUAAACCAAAAGCUUUAUUCUUUUCUUUAAAAAGAAAAACAUUUUCAUGAAAUACAACAUUUCUUGAAAUAAAUUAUUUGUCAGCUUGAAAAUCAAAAAGUUUAUAUCCUUUGACAUGUACUAGAUAUCCAAUGAAGAUGCAUCUUUUGGCCCAAGGAUCAAACUUUCUUCUAUUAUGUGGCAAAGUGGUUGCAAAACACAAAGAGCCAAAGACUUUGAAAUGAGAAUAGGUUGGAGGUUUACCAAAAAGUAAUUCAUAAGGUGUCUUGUUUUGAAUGACUAAGUAAGGUAUUCUAUUGAUUAUUUAUGCUGCAAUAAGAACAGAAUCACCCCAAAACUUAGUAGGCAAAAAGGAUUGUAAGAGUAAUGCUCUAGCUAUGUUCAAUAAAGAUUGAUGCUUUCUCUCAACUCUACCAUCUAUUGUGGAGUGUCUAUACAGGACAUUUGGUGCACAAUACCAUGCUUAGAAUCAAACUCUUUUAGCUUAACUCAAGACCAUUAUUAGAUCAAAACUAUUUUAUUAGUUUUCGAAAUUGUGUAAGAAUCAUUUGAUAAAAUGCUAGAAUGAUAGUACUGACAUUUGAUUUUGACCUAACAAGAUAUGUCCAAGUAAACCUACUAUAAUCAUUCACUAUAGUUAAAAAGAAAUUAUGACAAUUUAAAGUUGGAAUUGUGUAUGGCACCUAUAUAUUUACAUGUAUCAACUCAAAAGAUGAUUUUUUAGACCACAAAUGUGAUGGAAAAGGCAAUUAUUUUUGUUUAGCUAAUGAACAAACAUUACAUUAAAAAUCUUGGUGAAAAUUAACAUCAGAACAUGACUCGUGAGUCUGUUUUAUUCUUUGUAUAGAAACAUUUCUUAGCCUAUAAUGCCAAACAUCAAAAUCAAAAUUUAUAGAUUGACAAGAAUUUGAAUAAAUAGUAGAUUGAGAAUUCACUAGAAAAACAAAAAUAAAAUUUGCAAGAAAACUAGAAAGUGCAAAAUUAAAGUGUGAAGAGUUAGGACAUUUUGUAGAUGAUAUUUGUGCAUCCAAGUGUCUUUGCAUGACAUGCAACCCUUUUGUGACCUUAGUAUCACCAAUCAUUGUCCAUGUAGGAAGAUCUUGAAUGAUACGAUAAUUGUUAGUAAAGAUCAAGAAAUUUUUCUUAGUCUCUAUAAGUUUGCUAACUGACAAUAGAUUAAAUUUGAAAUAAGGAACAAACAGGACAUUCUUUAGUACCAAGCCUUUUCACAAGUGAGUGAUUCCUACAUGAGUAACUACAACUUUGGUAUUAUUAGGCACUUGCACAAAAAUAUUUUGAACAGAUUUAAAGGUCUUAAAUUGAUGCAAAGGACAAGCAAUAUAAUUUGUAGCUCCUGUGUUUAAUAUCCAAGUAUCAUACUUCAAAGAAAACAUAGAAUUUUAACAAAAAAACAAUUGUGUUUAGAAAUUAUACUUGCCAAACUAAGUUUAUAAGUAAAGGUUUGAUCUGUUAGUUUGCCAAAGAAGAUUCUUGAUCAUUGUUUGUACUAGGUUUCACAAUUAUGAGGGUUAUUAAUUUUUGAAUUUGAUCCUUGAUUAGAGAAAAUUGAGUUAAUGGACUUUCGACAGUAUCUUCAAAAUCAUCACAAUCUUUGCUAAUGACAUCACUAUUUGACAGUAGCAUUAUUUUCUCCUCUCUUGAAAUUCCCUUUUGGCUUGGUGAACUUGAAAUUCUCUGGGAAUCUAAUAAGUCGAUAGCAUUCAUCUUUCAUUGUCCUUGUAACGACCAUUCCUCGAUCGUUACCAAUGUCCAAGACUUGCGAGAGAACCCGCCAAAUCCUGAACAAGCCUUAGUUGAAUCUUUGGUUAUUAUGCCAUCAAUUUAUGAAACUAUUUGAACCAUAUAUCUCUUUGUAAUAAGGAUUAAACAUAAUCAUAAUAAACCAUCUUAACCUUUAUUCACCAAACCCGUGAAGAUUACAUUAUAGUCUAUAAUUAUUCAAUUGUACACUUACAUUGACACUACUUACAAAUAUAUUACACUAUGAAUGACUCGACCUCUAGCAGCAGAGCGACUCGAAAUAAAGUGCUACGAGAUGCCUUUACCUAUGUUACAGCAAGUCUCGAUGUGCUGAGUGAUGCACUUGAACUGAUUACUUAUCUGCAAAAGGAAAUAAAGGGGGUGAGUCUCACAGGCUCAGUGAUCAUCAACUCUGUGAGUAGGGCAUAGAUGGGAAACAAGCUUAAGGUAGAUUAUUUGAAUGAUAAAACUAGAAUAAAAGUAUUAAUCCUAGAAAAAUCAAAUCACAAAUAGAGUGUUUGUGCCUUGUAAAAAUGAUGCUGUCAAAUCAGUGUGCAAUAUUUCACUUGGCAAAACGAUGCCAAAAAACAAGAAUAGCAAAACCAAGUUCAAUCAUAGAAAACAUCACUUACUAUCAAAAUACGAGAAACAGUAUAAAAGUAUGCACGCUCCUAAGUUGUGUGGCACGUAAAGAAAUCAAUUUAUAAAGCCACAUAAACUAGCUCAUGAUUGUCAAAUAAGCAAUGAAGCUUUUAUUCAAAUAAGGGGAGCUGCAGAGAAAAUCUUAACUCUCCACCAUGCAAAAGAGUACUCGUCGAAAAACUCACAAGGCUCUCGAGUAGGAAAGUAUAAUAUCAACAUGUGGACCCAUUUCCACAUAAUAACAAUCCGGGAGCAGCACUUCCACUGGAUUCCCACAUGCCAUGGCACUCUCAACGAUGUUAGCUGACAUUAGAGAAUCAGGCAGUUGCAACCGCGAAUAUCACUUGUGGCCUAGCCACGUAUAUCACAGACCAUGGCCCCAGCCAUGUCUAAUAGCCUAUCAGUGACCCAAAGGUUCUCUAGUUAGAGCUCACUUGUGCACAAGGGUUACACUUAACCGAAGUGGCAUCCAGCUACUCUCGAUGCUCUCGGUUUGUGAAAACUGUUUUCAAAACUAAAUCAAGUUUUUUGAGACUUUUUCCUUUAAAUCGUUUGAAAUCAAGGUUUGAUAACCUGUCAAAUUGCAUUUCUCAUUAAUUGGCUUGGUGUAAACACGUGUACAAAGGUCGAAAUAAAACUGGUGCUCAAAACUUGUAUUUAAAUCAUUUUAACAAAUGCAUUUAGCUAUACAGAUCACAUAAAAAUACAAGGCACAAAUUUUGAUGCAAACAUUGUAAAAAGGCUUGUUUCUCGGUUUCUAAAACACUUUACAUAUAUAGAUUAUCUAUAGGCAUAUCCAAACCAACUUUAAAAACAACUUGCAUCCACAAAAUACCUAGGAUUCUACACGCUCAUGCUUUCCACAAAUUUGCAUUUAAAAUAAAUUAUUACAUAUAUAUUUUAUGGAAAUUUGGAAAUCGACACCCCCUACUCACCUUUCAAUGGCGGGAUAUCACUUCGCCACUUAUCCGGUUAUGUUUUCUCCUUUAGUUGAUCACCACAGUGUCCCUUUUCACUUGCACACUUCCUUGCGAUAAACCAAACCUAAUAAUCCUAGUGUUUAUCAUUCCCAUUUUACUCAAUUAUUUGCAAGUUUACAUGCAUCAUCAUCUAUUCAACUUUCAAUGCUUUAUUUCUCAAUCCACCAUUCACAUUAUUCCUUUUUCAUUUCUUUCAAACAACAACAUAACAAGCCACUUAACAUGUCCAUCUAGCUCAUGCAUUUUAGAUCCUUUUAACAACCAUUAAUCAUGCAUACGGUAGCAGCUAUAAACCUAUUUCCACCAAGUAAUUUCUAAGCUUAUGUGCAACACUAUUCAUAUUUACAUGCCGCCACUAAGCACAACAUAAAUUUUCAUUCAUGCACACCACAUUCUUAACCUUUAAGCCUUUCACAAUAACACAUGUCCACACAUUUAUGUUUCAAGCUUUCAACCAACAUAAUUAUUUUUUAACCAUACCUAAGGCAUCACAUAAACACUACACAUUGUUUGCCUUACCUUUGUGUGGGAUUUGCUCUUGCAUGCAACCUCAAUGUUUUUCCAAUACUCCUCUCACCAAGCUGCCAACAUUUUACACAAUCAUUUCCUCACAAUAUAUAACCAACUGUGGACCUCAAAUUAUGGUAUUAUGCUUACCAUUUCUUUUUCACUUUGAAUCCAUCAUGCACCCAUGAUUUUGAUAGCUUUGAAUGUCUCUAAAUCCUCUCCAUUCAAGCCAAUCUUUGCUGCCACAAGGCAUUUCAUAUAGUUACAAACCCAUUCUCAAGAAAUGUUCAAGCUAAAACCAAAGUUCUUACCUUAUCUUGCUUAAGUCACAAAACCAAGCUUUACACUUCCUUCCACACUCCACGGCUUUUCUCUUGAGUAUUGGAUAUUCCUUGGGUGAUGAAAUAGCACAAAUCUUCAAGAUGAGGGAGGAAACCUCUCAGUUCCUCUUGGUUUUGUGCAAAAUCGAGCCUUGCCUUCCUUUCUCUCUUUUUCUUCAUUUUUUUCUUUCUUUUCUUUUCUUCUUUCUUCUCCUUUCUCUUUUCUUCAUUUCUUUCUUUCUUUUCCUUUCUUCUUUCUUCACCUUUCUCUUUUCUUCUUGGUUAUGGGUAGACUUCUCAAGGCCAAAGCCUUGAAAAUAGAUUUCAUUUUCUCAUUUUGCUCACCCAUGGGUAGAUUGCCCAAAGUCAUGUCUUUUUCCAUUAUUUUCUUGUCUUUUCUCUUUACAUGUCAUGCCAUUCAACUCAAAUUUCCUCAUUUUGUUUACUUACAUUUCAUUUCACUUGUAUUUCUAUGCAUUUCAUUUUUAUUUCCUUUCAAUGCCACCUUAUCACCCAAUAACAUUUCAUGCACAUUUCCUUUGCCAAUAACCUUUGCCAUCCCAUGAACCAAUAAGACUUCAUGCAUUUUUGCACUCUUGAAUCCUAUUUGACCUCCCUCAAAAUCAAUAAAAUUUCAUGCAACUAAAUUAUUCUUUAUUUUUCUUAUUAAAUCAAAUUAGCAGCCUUACUUGCUUUACCAUGGGCUAUCUUUUCCAAACCAUGGUUUUCUUCCACUUAAUUAUUCUUUAUUCUUUUUUCUAUUUGUCAACUAUCGCACGAUGGAGUCCCACAUGUUUCCCACUAACUCCCUAUUUUUGCAUGCUAUGAUUGCAUGUAAUAGUAAUUUCUACAUGUAUAUCUCAUAUUCCUCAUAAUCUAACCUUCCUUUGUUAGGAAAUUUCCCUUUUUAACUUCAAAUAUUGAAAUUGCAAAUGAGUUAUCAUACUUUUCCUUAUUUACCAUGUGACCCUACCAACUUCCAUCCUUUACAAUUGGGUUCUACCGACAUUUCUUAAACUCUAAUUUUUUUCUAUUUUUCUUCCUUUACAUGUGUACAAACAAAAUAUAAAAUUUGCACUUCACCACUAUAUCACCAUAAUAUUUAAACAUAUACUUACUCAUGCUAACUUUAUUCAAUAAAGACACGCGAGCCCCACUAACGUUGUUUUUCUUCGAAAUUCUUUCUUACUUCUUCUCCUCCACUUAGAUUAGUCAUAUAAUCCUACUUUCGAUAAUAAAUAAAAUAUUAAUAUUUUAAUAUUAUUUUAUUCUAAAAUUUUUCACUUGUCUCCUUCGGACCCAAUAUGUCUCACUUAGUCCCGGUUCACUUCCCACUCACCUUUUAACUCGUUAAUCCAUGCUCUAUAAAAAUAUUAUUAUUUAAUUAUUAUUUCUUCGCGUAUGAAACAUUUUAUUUUAAAAUAUUCCUAGCACCCAUUACCACUCUUUGGCACUUAAAUUGAUGUCAAUUGACCCUUCAUCUUGUCAAUAAGGUCUUAUUGACUUCUAUAUGAGGGUACGGGGCGUUACAGUCCUUCCUUCUCACAGUGACUAAAAACAAGAUUCAUAUUUUUCUUCUUUUUUUCAUCAGCAAUAGAAAACCAUAGUAGAUGCCUCAAUCAACGAUUGAGACUAAAUGAACAGGGAUCUCUAUGACUUUCAUGGAAAACCAUAUUAUACGCCUCGUUUAGGUUAUGAAAGGGCCUAAUCAUUAAUAGAUGUGACCUUAAGGUUGAAUAUGAAUCAUUCAAGCCAUUGAGAAAAUGGAACAUAGUCCCAUUGUUAUAUUGAUCUACAAAUUUAGUAAGACAUUUAUUUUUGCAUUCUACACAUUUACAUUCACAAUAAGGCAAUGGCUUGUAACUUUUCAACUUUUCCCAAAUGAACUUGAAAUUAAUGUGAAUUGCAGACUAAAAAUUUGUAGAUCAUCUAGUUGUGAAAAUCUUUCCUUUAGGCUUUCCCAAAUUUGUUGUGCAGAAUCCAUGAAGAAAACUAUAGAGACAAUCUUAAAGGAAAGUGAGUCAAGCAACCAAGUUGUAAUCAACUUGUUGCAUCUAUUUUAAGGGCCAUAAAUGGAUCUGUAGGCUUUUUCUCUUUAAUGGAUCCAUACACAAAACUUGUCUUGUGGUGAAUGACCAAACCAAAAAGAAAGGAAUGACUCCAUGCCAAGUAAUUAGAUGAUGUUAGUUUAGGGUUUGACAUUACCAAACUUUGAUUAUCUGAAUAAUGAACAUAAUAUGAAGAUUAAGGAUUCUCUACAAGUGAGAUUAGAGAACUCGCAAGUGAGAUUGAAGAAUUUUAAACCGUCUUGUGUUGAAACAAGUAAGAACCACCAGAGUGAAACGGAAUUUGUAUAUUGAAAGAAUGAGCUUCUAAAAUCCAAAAGAAAACAAAAAAAAACCCCAAAUGAAGAAAUUUCAAUCUACAAAAAAUAAAUCAAUGUAAAUCAAAGUAAAGUUCUAAAAUCACAGAUGAAAAUCAAGCCAUAGCUUUGUGUCACAGUCUAAUCUCGAGCCAUGAUCGGCGCAUGGACCCAAUAGGCAUAGCCCACUAGGCCCAAGCAAACCUUUUUAUGAAAACUUGUUCAUUAGACCAUUUGUCCCUUAUCCACCUCUAAGGUUCUCAAUUCAUAAUUUUCAAUAAUGAUUUCUUCUCAAGAAUAAAUCAUGGCAACCGAGCAUAUACCAUUCACAAAAUAAUAUUAUCACUUGCCAACCUAUGGCGACAUUAUUAUUCAAACCAAACAUAUAGUGUUUACAACAAAUCUCAAGAAUUAUAUUUAAACAAUCAUAUACACAUGCGAAAGACCUUGACUAUUAGCAGAGUGACUCUAGGAGUGGGUACUAUCCUUAAGUAUCAUGGCAAACCUACCGAAAGAUGAAUAUGAGAAAGCACCUCAACCUAGAAUCCAACUACCUCCGAACCUGAAAACUAAAACAUGAAGUUGAAAAGGGUGAGUAUAAACCCAGUGAGUGAACAUAGGAAGGGAACAACCGAACGAUAUGGAAGAUUUUUAGAAAACACGAUGCACUUGUAUUGAAACCAUGCAAUUUGUAUAUCAUAAACAAACUCGAUGCCAUGUUGACUUUUAAAUCAUUUUAAAAUAUUUAGGAAAUUCAACUUUCAAUAUUCAAUGCAAUCACAUUUCAAACAUGCAUGAAACACAUCAAGGUCAAUCACAACUAGACAACAUGGCUCAACGCAUAUAACUGCCAUCCUCAUCUCAGCUCAUAUGCACUCCUACACCGCACAUAGCUAAUAUCCUCAUGUGCACUCCCACACGGCACAUGGCAAAUAUCAUCAUCAUGUGUUCUCCCACACCGCACAUGGCAUAUAUCAUCAUCAUGUGCUCUCCCACACCGCACAUGGCAUAUAUCAUCUAUGUGUGCUCUCUCACACCGCACACUACUAGCACCAUCAUGUGCACUCCCACACCACACACGCACGAUUAUAAUUAUCAUUCAACAUUACAUUUCCAUGCAUGCCACACAUAACAACAUGUAACAAGAAUCUUUGCAUAAUAAUACAUCACAUGCCACAAUUCAAUUGGCAAUUCAACAUAAUAUUUCAAAUACGUAAUUCAUCACAUUUUACGUUUAAAAAUGUAGAAGUAUCACUUGUAAAAAGCUUGUUCCCGUUCAUAAAUUUUAAAAGAGUCAACAAAGGAUAUUCUAGCAUUUCAUUCAACACAUAUGCAUUUGUUCAAAACUUUUUAAAUGCAAGUUCACUAGCACCAACAAGGUAUUAAUCCAAGUAAGUCCUGAAGUACCAUUAGCACCUAUAUUUGUCAAUAAACCAUAACAACCUCAAUUAUGUCAUAAAUUGAAUCUAAUAAUUCUAAUAAAUUUACACUAGACAAUCUACACUCUAACCUAACAAUUAACCUAAAAUUCUAGUCUAAUUCACAAACCCAUUAGACCAACUAUUCCAAUUUAAAGUUUCUUUACCUGGAUGAGCUUGAAGGUAUACAGAUCAACAGAAACCUAAUAUUUUCAAGAAAAAAAAUUUAAAAAAAUUAGAAAAUAAGAUUUGAAAAUAUAUAUAAACCCAUAAAUUUCAAAAUCCAAGAGUUGAAAAUAUAUACUUUUUGGCUUUAAAACGCAGAUCCGAAGCAAAAAAGCUUAGGUAGUGAUGAAAGUGGAGUAUAAUGGAAAAAAUGAAGAAAAGAAAGAGAGAUCUUUCUUUCUCUCUCCUAGGGUUUAGUUGUGCUGAAAAAAAUGGGGUUGAGAGUUGUGAUUUUGGUGCACAAGGAUGCAAGAAGAGGAAGAAGUAAGAAAAGAAAGGAAAAGAAAAGAAAAUCGAAAAUUUGGAUUUUCAUGGUCAAGAGAAGAAAAUGGCAUUGGGAGGGAGAGGAUGAAGAAGAAAAUGCCUUUUUGGGGAGAUAAGGAUCAGCCAUGGAAAGGGAAAAAAAAGAGUCAAAGCUUCCUUUGGAAGCCUUGACUAAGCUAAUGGAAAAAUUACCAUUUUGCCCUUUAAGUUUCUCCUCUUUUUAUUUUAGUCCUCCCAACGAUCUUUUAAUUCCAAUUUCCUUCUAUUUUUCUUCCUUUACAUGUUUGCAAACAAAAUAUAAAGUUCGCACUUCAACGCAGUAUCACUAUAAUAUUUCAAUAUUUACUUACCUUCUCUAACUCUAUUUAAUAAAGACACGUGGGCACAACUAUCGUCAUUUUUCUUCGAAAUUCUUUCUUAUUUCUUCUCCCCCACUUAGAUUAGUCAUAUAAUCCUCUUUCACGACUAAUUUCGAUAAUAGAUAAAAUAUUAAUAUUUUAAUAUUAUUUUAUUCAUAAAAUAUUAUUUUAUUCUAAAAUUCUCCACUAGCCUUAUAGGGCUCCAAAACAUCUUAUUUUGCCCUGGUUCACUUCUGAAUCACCUUUUAACUCAUUAAUUCAUCCUCAAUAAAAAUAUUAUUAUUUUAUUAUUAUUUCCUCGCAUGUAAGAUAUUUUAUUUUAAAAUAUCUUUUUCACCUGUCUCCACUUUAUGGCACUUAAAUCAGCAUCCAUUGAACCUUUGUCUCAUUGAUAAGGUCAUAUUGACUUCUCUACGUGGGUACGGGGUGUCACACUUUGAUACUGUGUUAACUUUCUAAGUUUAAGAACCAAGAUGAACUAGAGAGAAUUGGAAGGAAGCAGAAAGUUCAAGAGAAGAAUAUGGGCAGUAAAGUGACACAUCUUAUUACUUAAGUAAUUUGAUAUAUGGUUAAUUGUUUAUAUAUAAGAAAGGAACCUUACUAAUAGAAAAUUAACCAUGUUAUGUGAUAACUCUAUGACAUAAAGCUAUUUGGUCUUAAAUUUAAAUAUUAAGUUGCUAGGUUCUUAAGUUUUAGCAUAGAUUUUAGGUUUUUUUAGUUUUUUAUUUAAUUAUAGUUAAUUAUGUUGGGUCAAUUGAAUUUAGAUUAUUUUAGGCGAAGUUUGAUGUUAAAUUGUUUAAGAAAAGCUAAUAUUGAUUAAACUGUGCUUUUGUAAGUGUGCUUUGAAGAAAUACUUUUAAUUGAAAAAAGGAAAGAAAUUAUGAGAUGCAGACUUUCAUUGCACAUGUAUCAAUAUUUUGACCAUAAAUUUCUCUACAAAACUCUAAAUGAGGUGAUUCUUGAACCAUUGGAAAUAUAAGAGAAAAGUCUACAACUUUCAUGCUUAUUAUUUCACUCAAUUUGGCCUGAAAGAUGGUCAAAACCUUGUCGAAGUUCAAGGAUUACAAUAGUCUUGGAAAGAAAAAUUAAAUCAUGAUUUUUUUAAAUUACAUGGUCAAGGUCGCAGCCUUGGUGGGGGUAGGCCAUGGUUCACGUAGUCUAAUGAGGAAUCCUUGUUAGAAUUGACUUCUUUCUUCACCCAACUUGGCCCAACUUCAGAGCCUUAUUAAAGAAACCUUUUAGAGGACUUUGAGGGCAAUGAAAAACACAAGAUUUAGAGCUAAGAUUGAACCACAAAAUCAUUUAAGAAAAGGUUCAUUGGAGCUAAGAAGAAAUUGAAGGAUUCAAGAAGUUUAGAGGUGAAGAUUUCAACUUUUGGAGUUUCUUUAUUCUUUUUGUUAUUAUUUAUUUUUCUUGGUUUGCUUUCAAUGUUUAAACUUUAUUUGAUGAUGAUUUGUGACAUUAUGGGGAAACUAAUUUAGUUAUCUAAGAUUAUGAUUGAACUCAAUGCGUAGCCUGAAUUAUUUAUCUUUUCUUUUCUUAUGUUUGAUGGUUUUAGUUGUUUGUUCUAUUAUGUUCUUAAUGUUUCUAAUUGCAUGAUCCUCAAUUCGAUUGAAUUGGAAACGUAAGUUAAACCUUUAUGAAGGAGAUUUAAGGUAGACCUUGAAUAGAAUAGUGUAUGAUCAAAUGCACUUAUUUGAUUAAGUGGUUUGAUUGGCAUAUAGGGUAGACAAACACCUAUAAGCCAUACAUAGCCAAGAUUAAAGCAUGAACUUAAAGAAUCUUUCUUCAAUUUAAUUUGCAUAGACAUAUAGUAAAAUAAUUGGGAGAGAUAUUUUUUUGAGAAACUCGACAAAGACUCAUAAAUAAUUUAGAACUCUAAGUUAGCAACUUAAUAUGUUAAAGUUAAGAGAAAGAUAUAAUAUUCAGAUGAAGUAUUGAGGGAUAUCAUAUUUUUAGGUUUGGUAGUUGAUUGAGUUUUUAAAACAAAUUUGUUGAUUAAUUUUAGAUUAGUUUUACUUUUAGUUUGUUAGAUUUAAUUUUACUUUUUAAUAAUUUCAAUUUGGUUGUUUGAAUAAGAUUAGUGUGUGUUAAUUUUCAUAGUUAAUAGUAAGAAUUAAUUCAGUUCUCUUUCGAAUCGAGACUUUAAUUUUCACUAUAUUGCUUGUUUAACGAUACAUGCACUUGCGUGGAUAAUCUGACAACAAGGUUUUUGCUCCAUUGCCAAGGAAUUUAUUUUUAAUUCUUUCUUAUUAAUAUUAAUACUAAGUAUUCUUAAUCUUAUGUCAAACUUUUUCUUUAAUUUUCAGGUACUUUUGGUCAUUGUAGCGAAGAACCCAAAAUUUGGAAGUUGUUCUUUUUGAUCCAAAAAUCGAAAAGACUUUUCGAAGACUUCAGAUGAAAAGUCAACAAGUUUCUACUUAAAGUAAAAUAAUGGUUUAUCAACAAGGGGAAGAAACCAAGUUUUUGAGCGAAUAUAUUGUCCCACUAGUACAAAGUACUAGUACAAGGUCUCCACUCUACUAUCCAAAGACCUCCUAUUCAAGUCAACAACUUUGAAAUUAAGCUAGCAAACAUUCAGAUGAUUUAUACUUAUGUUUAGUUUAGGGGUUUCUCUAAUGAUGAUCUUAAUGCUCAUAUUGUGAAUUUCCUAGAAAUUUGCAACACAUUCAAGGCUAAUUGUGUUAUUGAUGAUGCCAUAAAAUUGAGGCUUUUCCUUUUCUCACAAAGAGAUAAAGCAAAAAGCUAGUUAAAUUCACUUCCUACUAGUUCCAUUAGUACUUGGGAUGAUUUGGCUCAAAAAUUCUUAGCAAAAUUCUUUCCCCCUACUAAGAUUGCAAAAAUUUGUAAUGACAUCACCUCUUUUAUGCAAUUUGAUUUUAAAUCACUGUAUGAGGCUUGGAAGAGGUAUAAGGGUUUGCUUAGAUGUUGUCCUUAACAUGGGUUGCUUAAAUGGCUACAAGUUCAAAUGAUUUACAAUGGUUUGUUGGGACCUACUAGAACCACCAUUGAUAUUACAGUCGGAGGUGCACUUAUGAGUACAUCCAUUGAUGAGGCCUAUGAUUUGCUUGAGAAGAUGGCUUCUAAUAAUUACCAGUGGCCAUAAGCAAGAUUGGGUACAAGAAAAGUUGCUGGUAUUUAUGAGCUUGAUGCAAUCCAUGCCUUGACUUCACAAUUGGCUGCUCUCACCAAGAAAAUUUAUAUAUUAAGUGUUAAUGCAAUUCAAAGCCCUUUUAUGACUUGUGAUUUUUGUGGGGAAGGACAUUCCAGUGACCAUUGUCCUAUUUACACUAGAACAACCUAUCAUGUUAAAAAUAAGCAGCCACAAAAUAAUCUUUAUUCCAACACAUAUAUUUUGAGGUGGAGGAUUCAUUUUAAUUUUUCUUGGAACAACAACUGAGCAUCUUCAUCAGCUCCUAAGCCAAAUUUUUCUUCGGGUUUUCCACCACAAGCUAAAGCUCUUAUGCUAGAGAAAAACCCUUCAAUUGAGGAGAUGCUCAUGCAAUUAAUGGUAAAGACUGAUGCUAACAUGACAAAAAGUGAUGCCAUCAUUCAAAGUCAAGUAGCAUUAAAGUGGGCCAACUUGCUUGUGUUCUCAAUAGUAAACCUCAAGGUAUGUUACCUAGUGACACUGAACCAAAUCCAAAAGGAUAAGGUAAGAAACAUUGCAAUGCAAUAACUCUCCAUAGUGGUAAAGAGGUAAGUAAAGAGCUAAGUGGUAAAGAUUUAAAUUAUGAAAUUUCAAUUAAUUCUAUUGAAAAAGAAAUUGAAAAGUUUGCUGAAAAUGAAGUUGUGAUUGAAAAUUCUACUAAAAAUCUAAGGGAAAAUCAUAAUUAAAACCUUUACCAACACCUCCACCACCUUUUCCUCAACGUGUUCAAAAGCAAAAACUUGACAAACAGUUCUAGAGAUUUAUUGAUGUAUUUAAAAAAUUGCAAAUUAAUAUUCCUUUUGUUGAAGCUUUGGAAAGCAUGCUAAGCUAUGUGAAGUUUUUGAAGACAUCUUAACCAAAAAGAUGAAAUUAGAAGAGUUUGAGACAGUUGCACUUACUGAGGAGUGCAUUGGUCUAAUCCAAAAUAAGCUUCCACCAAAGCUUAUUGAUACAAGGAGUUUUUCUAUUCCUUGCAUUAUUGGUAGUUUUAAAUUUUCAAAGCUUAGUGUGAUUUAGGUGCUAGUGUUCCAAUAAUGCCUUUGAAUAUUUUUAAGAAACUUGGACUUAAUGGGAUAUAACCUAUUACAGUUUCUUUGCAAUUAACAAACAGAACAAUUAACUGCCCAGUUGGGAUUAUAAAAGAUGUUUUGGCUAAAGUUGGGCAUAUGCACAUUUCGAUAGACUUCGUUGUGCUUGAGAAGGAAGAUGAUGUUAAAAUUCCAAUUUAUUUUGGGAUGACCAUUCUUCUCUACAACAAGGGCAAUCAUAGAUGUGAAGAAUGGCAAAAUAACUUUCAAAGUUGAAAAGGAGGAAGUAAUUUUAAUUUGUUCAAUGCAACUAAGCAUCCCUAUGUAGAUAAUUACUAUAGAAUGGAUUCAAUUGAUGAGUUGAAUAAAAAGGAACAUGAUGAGAAUUAUCCUCCAACAACAAGUACAACAAGUUUUGUUACUUUCCAAUCCACACUAAAAGCUUUUUCCAUGGAAACGCAAAUCAAUAUGGUUGGUUCUUUUCAAAGUGGUUAAGGUUUGUCCUUAUGGUAUCAUAGAAAUUGCUAGUGAAGCUACUAGAACAUUCAUGGUUAGUGGAAUAAGCCUCAAGCCUUUAUUAUGGUGGUGAAAAAGUGCAAAAGGGGUACCAUAAUCAAGCUAGAGACUAUAAAUAAGUGCUUCCUAAGAGGUAAAUAAAGCUUUCAAAACUCAUAUUUUUGCUUUUUAGUUAUUUUAUUUUAUUUAUUUAUAUUUCUAAAUUAAUCUCUAUUUAUUUUGUUUUAGUAAAAAAAAUAUGCCUCCCCCAAGCAUUGGUGAUAAUGAGGAAGAUGAGGAGGAAGACUGAAGCUUCUUUGGAAUUAUCUAACUACUAGGGGAGUGUUCUUUUACCUUUCCUUUAUUCUUUCUAGUAUUGAAGACAAAGUUCAAUUUAAGUUUGGGAGGGUGAAUUUAUUUUUCUAGCGAUGAACAUUUUGUGGAUAUUUUAGAUUUAAGUUUAAUUAUUUGCAUGCUUUUAGGAUUAGUUUAUCAUUUAUUUAUUUGUUUAUUUAUUUUUUCUUGCUUGAAACUUUAGCAAUCUAAAGUAGAAUUAUAACAAAUUUUUUGAUGAUUUCCUUAUCUAAUGAUGAGAACUUAGUUGACUUGUGUCUUUAACUCUUGGUAAAUAAGGAUAUUGUUUGGUUCAUGCUAAAUUCUUUUGUUUAGUGUCAUUGUUAAGAUGCGAUUUCCACACAUAUUGAGCACUAUAUCUUUUGUUUUGAAUUAUUAUGAAAUUUAAAGAAGGUUUAUAUUGAUGUGAAUUUUAGAUUAUGUCAAGAAUUCUAGAAUUUGUUUGAGUCUUUCUCGAAGUGAAAUUCUAGGCAAUAAGUUAGGGAGAUGAUUUAGGCCAUCUUUAGACCGUUUAAGCCUUUCAAGCUAACCUUAUUAAGUCUUUAUCCCUAGUAUAUCCUGUUCAGCAUAUUUUUCCCUUUUCUUUGUUUAACCAGAAAAUAAUUGAGCCUAGCCUUAAAAUAAAAUGACAAUUUUGCAACCCUUAAAAUAAAAUGACAAUUUUGCAACCCUUACUUCUAAGCAUGCAUAUCAUUUUAGGAAAUGUAUUGAGUUAAAUGUGGAAAAAGGUAGAAAAAGGUGAAGUUGUAGAAAAAAAAUCACCCCACUACCUACAAUACAAUGAAAUAAGUUUAGAGGUGUAAAACUGUGAUAACAGAGAAAAUAAGAAUAAGAUGUUGAACAAAAAAAGAGUUCAGAGUGAAGAAAAGGGUGUAUGUGGAGAAUAAAAUAAAGCUCUAUACAAGUCUUAGAAUGAUUAUGUACUUAGGGUGAAUUGAGCCAAAUUAUUAUCCUUUAUCUUACCUUGACUUAGUGUUCGUCUACAUUAGUGGAGAGAGAGAUGAAAACCAAAUGUAUGGAGUUGUAGUACUAAUUUGAAAUUGUACAUUGACAUAGACUCAUCCAGAUAACUAUGAUGUUCUUUGUAAAAGAUUUCACACACACACGAAAAUCCAUUCGAGAAUGAGCUUGCAUUGGAAUUGAAACAUGAACUUGGAUGAUGCCUAUCCUUUAUCUUAAGCUGGAGAUCUAUAAAUAUACUUUUGAGAAAAUUAUGGGUGGUCAUUGAUUCGGUGCCACUUGUUUCUAAUUAGUUGUUCAUUUAUGUUGCUUUCCUCAUAUAAUACCCCGUACUAUGAUAUGGUGACUAAUAAAAACUUAGUGGAUGCCAAUUGAGGUUAAUUAUGAUGUUUAGAAUUGAUGAAAGAUGAAAGGAAUAGUUUAGGAUAAAAUAUUCUACACACGAGGAAAUAAUAAUAAAAUAAUGAUAUUUUUAUCGAAGAAGAAUUUGUGAGAUAAAAAGUGAUUCGGAAGUCAAUUGAGGCCUAAUAAGGUAUUUUGGGUACCAAGAGGAGACAAGAGGAAAUUUUUGAAAUAAAAUAAUAUUAAAAUAUUAAUAUUUUAUUCAGUGUCAAAAUUUUCCAUGAAAAAGGGGUAUAUGGUCAAUCUAAGUGGGGGAGAAGAAGAAUGAGAGAAUUUUGGAGAAAAAUAACGUUAAUGGGGCCGCGUGUCUUUAUUAAGUAAAGAUAGCGCAAGCAAAUAAAUAUUUUAAAUAUUAUGGGGACACUGCUUUGGAGUACAAACUUCAUACUUUGUUUGUACAUGUGUACAAGAAGAUAAUAGAAGGAAGUUGGAGUUAAAUGAGUGUUGGGAGGACUAAAUUAAAAUGGAAAGAAACAAAAAGGGUAAAACAAUAAUUUUACACAAAGCUUGGUCAAAGCUUCCAAAGGAAGCUUUGACUCUCAUUCUUAUCAGCCCAAAACAGUCCUCAUCUCCUUCAGCAAGAUGUUUCUUCUUCAUUCUUGAAGCUUCCAACACCAUUCUCUCAUUUUCCCAUGGAAACUUAAUUUUCUUUCUUUUUCUUUCCAUUUCCUUUCUCUUCUUGCUUCUUUCCUCUCCUAACUCCUUGUGCACCAAAGUUACAACUUCUAACCCCAAUUUCCAACACACCUAAACCUUAGGAGGAGAAGAAAGAAAAAGAGAGAAAGGAAGAAAAAAGAUUGGUUUUGGUGAUUCAAGCAAGGAACGGUAAGAAUUCUUGUUUUUGGCUUGAGUAGUUUUUGAAAAUGAGUUAGUGACUUAGAGAAAUGUCUUGUGGCAGCAAGGAUUGGCUUGAUUGGAGAAAAAUUGGUAACAUGUAAGCCAAUAAACCCAUGGGUACAUGAAGGACUCAAAGUGGAAAAGGAAAAUGGUAAGCAUAACACUAUGUUUUAAAGCCUACAGUUAGUUGAAUAUUGUGAGGAAUUAUAGUUGUUGAAAGGAUUUAUUUCCCUAAGCUAGUUGAAAAUUAUCAAGAUUGUUUGGCAUGUUGUUUAAAAGAAAUGAAAAAAAAAAUAUUGUGGAUGGAGGAUUGAGAAACAAAGUAUUGAAAGUUAGAUAGAUAACAAUGCAUGUAAACAAGGAAAUAAUCAAGUGAAAGUAAGAAUGAUUGUUGCUGCCAUAUAUGUGGAGUAUGUGUAGAAAUAUAAGAUAAAUUUGGGUGAAAAUUAUUCAGAAAGGUUGAAGUAGACACGUGAUAUUAUAAUUAAGUUACCGGUGAUAUAAUCUAUGGAAUUUCGUAAGCAAUGAUAUAAGUAAUUUUGGUAAAAAUGUAUUAAGAUGUGAGUUAAUUGAAGAUGGUUUCAUGAUAGGAUGAAAAAUAUAAAUUUGAGUAAGGAUUAAUAGAUUGAAGUGCUGCCCGUAUACAUAUGUAAUUAAAUAUAUUGAGUUCGUACUAUUGUUAGAAAGUGCAAAGAUAAGGUUAGAGUACUGUGGUGGCAUGCUGGAGUAAAUAACGAACGAUCGGCCAGUGAAAAUAGUUAGAGACACCUCCGAUCAAAUAGCGAUGUAAUAUCCCACUAUAGUUAGGUGAGUGAACUGCAUUUCAAAAUCAUUUUGGGAAUGUGAUUGCUUUGUACAAAGCAUUUGAAUGAUUUUAUAAAACUUUAUCUUAAAACAAGUGCCUUGGGAACAAGCUUUUGCUAAAUGGUUUUAUAUUGUGAUAUGUGGUUGUUAUUGAUUCAUGCACUAUUUCAUUAUGAUGAUAUAUAUAUAUAUAUAUAUAUAUAUAUGUUGUGCAUGAUAGUUGAUAUUGUGUAUGUUGACUAUAACCGUGUGUGUGCACGAUGUGAGGGGANUGAUGAUAUAUAUAUAUAUAUAUAUAUAUGUUGUGCAUGAUAGUUGAUAUUGUGUAUGUUGACUAUAACCGUGUGUGUGCACGAUGUGAGGGGAUGCACAUGCCGGUGAUGAUGGUGGUGUGGGAGAUGGAUGAUGAUAGUGCCCGUGUGCACGAUGUGGGGGGAUGUACACCAUGGAACUGAUUGUGCACGAUGUGGGGGGAUGCACAUGAUGGCAUCUGCUAUGUGCACGAUGUGGGGGGAUAUACAUGAGCCGGGUGUGAUUAUGCUGAUAUUGGUGUUAUCUAUGCAUUUAUAUAUAUACAUCUAUGUUUAUGAAAUCAAAGUUCAUGAGUAUGGUAUAUGGUUUUGCAUAUGUGAAUCUUGCAUGUUCAACUUUGAAAGUUGCUAAGUAUUGUCAAAUUGGUGUUGAUUGCAACAAGGAAUUUGGCUGUAGCGAAAUGGAUUCUCGCUGCCGCCAGAAACUCUUGGUGGUGGUGCAGUACUGUCACUUUGACAGUGAGUUUGACCACCUUUCGAUCAGAACUAGGCAAAGUUGUAAACAUUAAAGUCGUAGCCCUGCCUCUUAGCUUUGUAAUGACCCAACACGCAUGUCAAUUGGACCCAUGUAGUGGAAGAUAUGCUUGAAAAAAAAGAACCGUAUGCAAGCCAAGAAUGCCUUUUGCUGCAGCGAGAAUGAAACUUUCUGUUUCGCUUAGCAUUUGGCUAGUUUUUGCCAUACUUUCCAUUUCUCCAAUUUCAUGUUGAAUAUGAAUUCUCUAUCGUCACAUGAUUUAGCGACCAAGGGUUCAAUCGAGGGUUUUAAUAAGGACUUAAGCUAAAGUGCAUCGUUUUCAAAUAAGUGCAUUAUGAUUUCAAACUUUUCCUUAUUAUAUUGCUUGUUCCCUUCCUAUGUUUACUCACUGAGUUUAUACUCACGUUUUCAACUUCAUGUUUUCAGAUUCAGUGGUCGUUGAUACGUAGAUUGAGGUGUUCGCGUACCCCCAUCCCUUGGGUAGGUAUCUUGACACUCAGUAGUCAUAUCUCCCCAUCCAGAGUCACUCCGCUGACAGUCAAAGUCUUUGUAUAUGUUUCAUGUGAAUUUGCAAAGAUAUAUUGACAACUAUUUAUGUAUGAUUUGAAUUAUGAUCCUAAUGUGAGCAUUCACUUGGGUUUUAUGAGUUGCGUUGGAGAAAUCGACAUUUGAACACUAUUAAGUACAGAUCUUAAAGAAAUAUGCUAGAUAGAUGGGUUAAUAUACAAGUGCAUAUUGAGAGGCUUGCUUGGGCCUAGUGGGCUAUGCCUAUUGGGUCCUUGUGCCUGUCAUGGCUCGAGAAUUGGGUUGUGACACAUCAGUUAAAUUGCUUUCGCUUUUGGCUAGAUUUUUCUUUUAUGUUUUGCUCGAGGAAUAGUAAAACAUUAAGUUUGGGGUGUGAUAAUUCUAUGAUAUAAAGUUAUUUGAUCUCAAUUUUAGAUAUUAACCUGCUAGUUUUUUAGUUUUAGCAUAGAUUUUAGGUGAUUUUAGUUAUUUAUUUAAUUGUAGCUAAUUAUGUUAGGUCAAUUAAAUUUACAUUAUUUUAGGCUAAGUUAGAUGUCAAAUUACUUAAGAAAAGCUGCUAUUGAUUAAAUUGUGCUUUUGUAGGUGUGCUUUGAAGAAGGACUUUUAAUUAGACGAAGGAAAGAAAUUAUGUGAUGCAAACCUUCAUUACACAUGUCUUGGUAUUUUGACCAUAACUUUCUCUACAGAACUCCAAAUGAGGUGAUUCUUGAACCAUUAGAAAUCUAAGAGAAAACGCUACAACUUUCAUGAUUCGCUUACCCAGUUAGGCCUAGAAGGUGGUAAAAAACCUUUUGAAGUUGAAGCAUUGCAAUAGACUUGGAGAGAAAAAUUAAAUCAUGACUUUUGUAAAUUAAAUGGUUGAAGUUGCAGCCUUGGUGGAGGUAAGUUGUGGCUCACAUAGUCUGAUGAGGAAAUCCUUGUUAGAAUUGACUUCUUUCUUCACCUAACUUGGCCCAACUUAAAAACCUUAUUGAAGAAACCUUUUAGAGGACUUUGAGGGCAACAAAAAACAUAAGAUUCAAAGAUAAGAUUCAGCCACAAAAUCAUUGAAGAAAAGUCUCACUGGAGCUAAGAAGAAAUUGAAGGAUUCAAGAAGAAUUGGAGAUCAAGAUUUCAACCUAUGGAGUUUCUUUAUUCUUUUUGUUAUGCUUUAUUUUUCUUGGUUUGGUUUCAAUGUUUAAUCUUUAUUUGAUGAUGAUUUGUGACAUUAUGGGAAACUAAUUUAGUUAUCUAAGAUUAUGAUUGAAUUUAAUACAUAGUCUGAAUUAUUUAUCUUUCAUUUGCUUAUGUUUGAUGGUUUUAAGUUGUUUAUUCUAUUCUGUUCAUAAUGUUUCUAAUUGUCUAUUCACCAAUUAUAAUUUUUCUUCUAUUCAUUUGAAACUACAUGGCAGAAACCAAUUCCAUUGUUCCAACCAUACCAAACAACCCAACACCACCAAUGAUCAUCCACCAAGACAAUUCUAUGUUUCCUACUCAUAUCACACUGAAUGAAACAAAUUACACAUUAUGGUCUCAACUCAUGGAGAUGCGUAUUGACACUUGCAACAAAGUUGGACAUAUCAUCGGAGCAGCAAAAAACUUGCACUAGGAGUAUAAUACCCCGUACUUUGAUAUGGUGACUAAUAAAGCUUAUGGGAUGCCAAUUGAGGUUAAUUAAAAUGUUUAAAAAUGAUAAAAGAUGAAAGGAAUGGUUUGGGAUAAAAUAUUACACACACGAGGAAAUAAUAAUAAAAUAAUAAUUUUUUUUGGAGAAGAAUUUGCGAGAUAAAAAGUGAUUCGGAAGUCAAUUGAGGCAUAAUAAGGUAUUUUUGGGUACCAAGGGGACAAGAGGAAAUUUUUGGAAUAAAAUAAUAUUUUUUUGAAUAAAAUAAUAUUUUAUUCAUGUGUCAAAAUUUUUCAUGAAGAAGGAGUAUAUGGGGCAACCUAAGUGGGGGAGAAGAAGAAUGAAAAAAUUUCAGAGAAAAAUGACGUUAAUGGGGCCGCGUGUCUUUAUUAAGUAAAAUAAUGCAGGUAAAUAAAUAUUUAAAUAUUAUAGUAUUANNNNNNNNNNNNNNNNNNNNNNNNNNNNNNNNNNNNNNNNNNNNNNNNNNNNNNNNNNNNNNNNNNNNNNNNNNNNNNNNNNNNNNNNNNNNNNNNNNNNNNNNNNNNNNNNNNNNNNNNNNNNNNNNNNNNNNNNNNNNNNNNNNNNNNNNNNNNNNNNNNNNNNNNNNNNNNNNNNNNNNNNNNNNNNNNNNNNNNNNNNNNNNNNNNNNNNNNNNNNNNNNNNNNNNNNNNNNNNNNNNNNNNNNNNNNNNNNNNNNNNNNNNNNNNNNNNNNNNNNNNNNNNNNNNNNNNNNNNNNNNNNNNNNNNNNNNNNNNNNNNNNNNNNNNNNNNNNNNNNNNNNNNNNNNNNNNNNNNNNNNNNNNNNNNNNNNNNNNNNNNNNNNNNNNNNNNNNNNNNNNNNNNNNNNNNNNNNNNNNNNNNNNNNNNNNNNNNNNNNNNNNNNNNNNNNNNNNNNNNNNNNNNNNNNNNNNNNNNNNNNNNNNNNNNNNNNNNNNNNNNNNNNNNNNNNNNNNNNNNNNNNNNNNNNNNNNNNNNNNNNNNNNNNNNNNNNNNNNNNNNNNNNNNNNNNNNNNNNNNNNNNNNNNNNNNNNNNNNNNNNNNNNNNNNNNNNNNNNNNNNNNNNNNNNNNNNNNNNNNNNNNNNNNNNNNNNNNNNNNNNNNNNNNNNNNNNNNNNNNNNNNNNNNNNNNNNNNNNNNNNNNNNNNNNNNNNNNNNNNNNNNNNNNNNNNNNNNNNNNNNNNNNNNNNNNNNNNNNNNNNNNNNNNNNNNNNNNNNNNNNNNNNNNNNNNNNNNNNNNNNNNNNNNNNNNNNNNNNNNNNNNNNNNNNNNNNNNNNNNNNNNNNNNNNNNNNNNNNNNNNNNNNNNNNNNNNNNNNNNNNNNNNNNNNNNNNNNNNNNNNNNNNNNNNNNNNNNNNNNNNNNNNNNNNNNNNNNNNNNNNNNNNNNNNNNNNNNNNNNNNNNNNNNNNNNNNNNNNNNNNNNNNNNNNNNNNNNNNNNNNNNNNNNNNNNNNNNNNNNNNNNNNNNNNNNNNNNNNNNNNNNNNNNNNNNNNNNNNNNNNNNNNNNNNNNNNNNNNNNNNNNNNNNNNNNNNNNNNNNNNNNNNNNNNNNNNNNNNNNNNNNNNNNNNNNNNNNNNNNNNNNNNNNNNNNNNNNNNNNNNNNNNNNNNNNNNNNNNNNNNNNNNNNNNNNNNNNNNNNNNNNNNNNNNNNNNNNNNNNNNNNNNNNNNNNNNNNNNNNNNNNNNNNNNNNNNNNNNNNNNNNNNNNNNNNNNNNNNNNNNNNNNNUUGAUGAAAUGUUUUGAUAUUAUGAGAUAUGAACAUGAUGAAUUCAUGAGUUUCUACAUUAUGUUGAUGUGUAUAUUAUACAUUAAAUGAUAUUUUUGUGUGAUAAUUAUGACCCAGCCAUGUGCGGUGUAGGAGUGCACAUGAGCUGUGCUGACCUAGCCAUGUCUGGUGUAGGAGUGCACAUGAGCUGUGCUAACCCAGCCAUGUGCGGUGUAUGAGUGCACAUAAGUUGUGCUGACCCGGCUAUGUGCGGUGUGGUAGUGCACAUAAGCUGAGAUAGAGUUGGGGGCGAGGUCGGUGGUUAUAUAUAUAUUUAUAUAUGGUAUAAUAUAUAUAUAUAUUUAUAUAUUGAUAUAUAGAGGUUUUGAAAAUUAUAUUGUGGUUGCAUUAAUUUUUGAAUGUUAAAACUUGAGAAACAGUUUCCACUUGAUUUUCACCGCAGCAAAGACAGAUUUCCGUUGUGACAAGAAAUUGAGUUGAAUUGCAUUGUCUUCAACAUAAAUGCAUCAUGAUUUCUAAAACCUUCCGUAUUGAUGCUUGUUCCCUUCCUAUGUUCACUCACUGAGUUUAUACUCAUGUUUUUUAAAAUUCAUGUUUUAGGUUUCCUGAGUUAAAGGUGAUUGGAUCCUAGGACGAGGUGUUCCUCCCUGUACAUUGCUCGAUAGGUUUAAUGUGACACUAAGUGUUACCAAUCGUGCCUAGAGUCACUCCGCUGACGGUCAAGGUCUAAUUAUGUGUAUGUGAAUAUUUAAUGUGAACACUAAGAAUCAUUGUUAAUCUAUUAAUGAAUAUAUUGGUGGAUGAUGCCAUUAUGAAUGUAUGAUUGGGUUUUAUGAAUCAUUUUCAAAGAAACGGUAUUUGAACAUUUCGAGCUUUGGAUUCUAAAGGAAUAGGGAUUAAUGUAUAAAAUCGAUUAAGUAGGCUUGCUUGGGCUUAGUAGGUUGAGCCCAUUGGGCCCUUGCGCCGGUCAUGGCCUGAAAAUUGGGCUGUGACAAGGAGAUCUUAAUCUUAAAACAUGGAUUACUGAAGAUCACAAAGUGAAAAGCUGGCUUAUUGACUCAAUCAGUCUAUUGCUGAUGCAGCGAUUUAUUUGUCUUCCCACAACCAAGGAAAUAUUGGAAAUUAUAUAAGAAACCUUUUAUGAUUGAUUAGACAAGACAUGUAUUUUUGAAUUGAAUCAAAGAUCUUUCUCUACCAAACAAAUGGGUCAACCAUUAUGAACAUACUAUAAUGAACUUUUGGCUAUUUUUCAGGAUAUUUAUCACAUGAUUAUAUCGCAAGAAGGAACAGUUGAAGGUGUAGCUCACUUGAACUCUAUAAUGGCUAGGCUUUGAGUCCAUAUUUUUCUAUGUGGACUUGAUUCUAAAUUGGAUCAAGUCCAUGGAGAAAUCUUAUGAAAACAUUCAAAACUUCAAUUAGAAAGCACGUAUGCAUAUGUCAAGAAAGAAUAUCAAUAAAGUCAAGCGAUGGGAGGUUCUUAUCCAAAUCUUGAGAGCAUGGCUAUGAAGGCCAAUUGAACUUAGCAAAGACCAUCGUCCAGCUCCUCAAAGAACUGAAGCAAUCAAUAAAAAAAAUUUGAUAGUUUGAUAUGUACUCAUUGUGGUGAGUAGACCAAACCACUAUAAAUUGUUGAGCAUUGUCCACUUUCCUUCAUUUCGUUGUUCUACUUCUCUUAAUUUACUAUUCUAACGAGAUUCAAGCUUCUCUUAUCAACUUCCUUUCACAAGCCCUUAACUAGGAACCAAUUUUUGUGACAUUCGAAAAGUGCUAUUCACUCCCCUCAAGCACACUUUUUGGUACCAAAAAAAUGGAAUUUCUAAGUAUUUAACUUAUUGAAUUGAAAAUUAAUCAGUAAAAAUAUUUAAUCUUACUUCAAUAACAUUUUCUCGGGCUCAAAUUAGCUCUAAAUAUCUCCAAAAAUCUGUUUAGGGCUUAGGGUUUUAAAUGGGUAAAAAGAGAGGGAAAGUUAGGGUUUUAUUUAAAAUGGGUAAAAUGGCUCGAACCCUUUUUAUUUUUACCUUUCCUUAGUGAUGUACCGAUACAUUUAGGAAUAUAUCGAUACAUUUUCAUGGGUUUUAGCCAAAUUUAUCGAUACAUAAGGGUACUGUAUCGAUAGAUUUCAAGCAGAAUGCUAAUGUCUAAAAAUGUAUUGAUACAUGGGAGAAUGUUUUGAUAAUUUUUCCCUUGGGGUGCCCUUUGGAUGCUCUCUGCUUCAAAUCUAUCAAUACAUUUGGACAAUGUAUCGAUAGAUGUUCAUCCUACCAUGAAUGUAUUGAUACAUUGGGGAAUGUAUCAAUAUAUUUUCCCUUAUAUGCCUUAUGUAGUUCAUUCUGCUAAGAAUGUAUCGAUACAUUUGAGAAUGUAUUAAUACAUUUUUCCCUUGUAAGCAGUUUUUAGCUUUCUAAACUCCCAAAUAUCUGAAAUUAAUACCCCAAAAUCAUUUUGUAUUGGUAUCACACUUCAAAUAAUUCAUAUAACUCAAAUUCGUAUAUUUAUAUGUGUGUGUGUGUGUGUAUAUAUCCUCAAACAUAACAUCAUAUACAAAUCAAAACCUCAAACUAUGGAAUUUAUCACAUAUUUCCAUAAAAUUUUGCCUAAGUGUUAAUACACAUACUCCCAUACACUAGGCAUACUUAACAUAUUAUCAAAGUCCUCAAGAUUCAAUAUAUUUCAUAUAUCAAUCUUAGUUAACGUAGUUUACACCAAAAAUUGGGGGUGUUACACACAUCAAGUAGGUUUAGAUUUAGUUGACUAUUAUAAAUAGCUCUCUAUGUAGUCCUUUAUUUUUCAUCAAGCAAUUUAAUUCUUCGCUUAUAUCUUAGCUAUUUUCUACACAUACUCUUCAUGUUUCAUGGUUAGUAUUGUUAGCAAAAAAAAAGAAAAAUGAAUUUUGAAAGAGACUAGAUUAUUAUUUUUAUUUUGAAUGAGAAAGACUAAGUUUUGAAACCAAACAAGUCUUAGUAUCAUUACUAAUGAGAUAACACAUGACAUGAUAUUAUAAAACACAGAAAAAUGGGCACCCAUUUAAGGCAAGGGAUUUUCAUUCAUUCUUUGGUAGGUUUCACUGUUUAUUAUAAUAGUUAGUUAAAUUAGUCACGUAGAAUGUUGAUUUUUUAAUUUAUCAUUUCAAGAGUAUUUUUUUAAAAGGUAAACUAUAUUAACAUUUUCAAAAUUUACCUAUAAUUUCACACGAGUCUAUUAGCUUUCAAAAUGUACAUUUUGCUCCAAAUGUGUAAAUGGCGUUAAUGAUAAAUGUGAAAUGUCUAAAAUACCUUUCAUAUUUCUUCACUCUUUUUCAACAUUUUUCUUUUUCACAAACCAGUUAGCGGCACUCCUUUAUGUUGGUUGGUCAUCUCGUGACUGGAUUUAGCUAUGUAAUGCUUGUUGGUCCUUAUAAUAUGUGCUAGAGGGGGGGUGAAUAGCACAAUUUAGCUCUUAACAAUAUUGAAAACUAAUUUCCAGAACUUAAGAAAAUAAAAACAAAGUACAAGAUGCACAGUAAUUUAGAGUGGUUCGGUCCAAGACCUACAUCCACUACCUUGAUUAUCCAACCAAGGAUUUUCCCAACAAAUCCACUAAGAUUCGGUGAAAUUCACAAGCUUACACCAAGCUUUACAAUGGCUUCUCAAGGCUCAGCCAAAACCUUUUACACUAGUUUUUCACAGGCUCAACUAAAACCCAGAGUGGUUUUACAAGGCUCAACCACAACCUACAACAAUCAAGCUAUCCCAAGCUUGAAUAACCCCUUAGAGUGACUUACUCACUCUAAGAAUACAAGAAGAGUAGUAAAAAAAAGUACCUAUGAUCACUGGUUGAUCUAAUUGGUACAAGAUUGAGUGCAAAAUACAAAUGCAAAGAGUAGGCGUUUAAGUGCAGACAAGUGUAGUGAAGAUUUUCUGGUUUUUCAACUUUCUAUAGCUCAAAUCUCAUUCAAGGCUUCUAAAAACUUGUUUCUAAUUGUUGGAAGACCCUUUUAUACUUGGAGAAGCAACUCUAAUGGGAGUUUGGCAGUUUUAUGUCUGUUGGAAACAGUUGAUGAUGAGUUCUAGCCGUUAAUCUGUCUUGUAGUACUCUGGUUCAAAUUACAAACAAAGAGCUCUUCGUCGACUAACUUGGUUGACUAAGUUGAUUCUAUUUCAGGUUACAGAUUCUGGCAAAGAGCAGUUAGUUGACUGACUUGAUCGACUAAGUUGAUUCUGUUUCUCAAACACUUCAGCCCACCAUUCCUCCAAUUUGAAACUUGGUCAACCAACAUUCUUCCUUGUUUCACCAAUAAGCUUCCUCCUUGUUAGACAGUUGCAUCUUGUUAUUUUUAUCCCUAUUUUUCUUUUGAUAUACUCUUUGAAGAGUUAAUUAAUUAAUUUUAUAUAUUGAUUUUUCUGCACACUUAAGUAAAGGUAUUAGACACAAAUAAAUGGGAAUGUUUUAUUAUCAUCAAAAACUAAUGGAGCCAACAAUGCUAGAUCUGGUGGCUCCACCCUCCCCUCCCUGCCCGGCACCGAGCCUCGCUUUUGACUAGCAUAGAGUAUUGAUCUUUUGCAUAUACAUGGUUAGAUGGCUUUUAGGAUGGCUCAGUCCAUCAUACUUGUAGAAUUACAAAGUCUUCAAUUUGGGAGGCAUAAGCACAUCGGGUACUAGGCAAAGAUAUGUGACUUCAAUGGGUCCAUAUGCAUCGGUUUUUUCAAUCGUUUUAAGCUUUUCCUCCAAACUUUCCAGCUUUUGUAGGGCGUUGCUCCCCUAAAGAGCAUGGGGGGAGGGAGAUUCGACCAGAGCCAGAUCUGGCGCUACCCAACCGUAGUCGAAUUUGGCACUCUGACCACAAGUAGAGGUAGGAGAGAGAUUUUUUUUUUUUGAAUAGGAGAAAACAAAUUAAAAAUGAAAAAUUAUUAUCUAUAUAGUAUGGUAAUUUUUAAAAUUAAUGAAGGGUAAAAUUAUUUGAAAGAUAUUACCACAUCAUUAAAUUAAUGAAAACAUUAACGAUUAACUAACAAUUGAAUUUAUGUAUCUAGCAGAAUAUAUAUUCUUUUGGACGGACUAUAUAUUUCAGAAAUUAACGGACUCAUAUAAAAUUAUGGACAAAACUUUAAGGUGCUAGUGUAUUUUACCCUUUUUAAAAUUAUUGUACUAUAAUUAAUUAUCGUAAUCAUAAAUUAUGUAAGAUCUAUUAAAAUAUUAUAUAAAACUCACAUUUAUAUAUAAUAGAUUUUUACAUAAUUGUAUAAUUAUAGAAUUAUAGUAGAAAAAGUUUGCAGGUGAAAUGUUGUAUUUCGAGUCAUCUAUCCAAAUUCCAUGGACCUGAUCAUUCAGUUAACCAUUUUGGAGGAGCUACAUCCAUCACUUUGGCUGUAAUCAUCUUACCAAACUCAGCAAGGUUCUCAGUGUCCGGCAUAACAUCCUUCACAGUAGCAUCACAGCAAAACCUGUGAGCCCAGUUAAAGAGAGCAGGAGCCUUGGCUACACUAAGUAGCUUGAUCCCGUUCAUCUUUUCCGCGACUCCUAGCCAGGGCAAAUAGCACCCAAAUGCAAUGAAGCGAAAAAAAUAAAACUGUAGACUCAAAGAUACAAGGAAGUUAAAAAAAUAUAAUUAACCCCUAUAAAGAUAGGCCUAAAAUUGGGAAUUUCCAAGCCUAAAAUAAAGCCUUUUAAUGAAAAAGACUUCAGUAAAAUCCCUUAUCUCUUAUCAAAGUCCCAAAACCAUCCACCACAACCAAAACCCUAACAAAACCUUAAAAAAAGUCUUGUCUGAACUUUAGCCACCAGCCACGUUAAAGUGAAGCAGAUAGGCACAAUCUCAUCCAAGUGAAAUAUUAACCAAAUACACAGCAAUUAAAAGUUCCAUAGUACCAUCCAAAAAUUAAUAACAGCGACAACGUGUACAAUUAUACUACAGCAGCAAACCAAAUGCUCCAAGAGUUGUAAUUCUAUCCAAACGGGAUAAAAUCCCAUAUUAAUCAAAACUCUAUCCCACCCAAAUCUCCUCAGUUCAAUCAUCACAUCAACCAGUAAGAUAGAUUCAAUAUAAAAUAUAACUUAUAUUAAAUCCCAUACAAACUUAUCUACUAACAUGAGAGAUAUAUAAAUGUACCAAUCACCUUAUUUUGCAGUCCCAAAAAAUUGCACUAGUGCCUCUCUCCUUCCAACUCUUUCUUUAGCUAAUAAAUCAGCAUCACCAUUAGCUUCUCUGAGAACAUGAGUAACUUUCCAACUUUUAAUAACCUUCUGAAGACAGCUUAUUUGAAUCAUAUGUUGUCGGCACUGCCAUGGUGCCAUUGAAGGAUUAUUUAGCCACACCACCGCAUUUCUUGAGUCAUUUUCUACCCAUAGAUGUACUUGUGAAUUUCUUAAGAACUUAAUGAACAAGGUAAAUGCUUCUUAAUGGCUAACACUUCAGCAAUGUUUGCAUCACAGACCCUCACAAAUUUUGAAAAUCUAACAAUGACGUCACCCUUAAAGUUUCUCAAAAUACCCCCUAUUCUCGUAUCACCCAGAUUUCCUACCAACGCACCAUCCACGUUAAACUUUAUCCAACACAACACCGGUGCCUCCCACAUCAAGCACACCCUAUCCUGCUUUAUCCUUGUAGGAAUGGAAACAAGAUUUGGAUUUCUGAAUAUAUCUUCCUGUGUCUCUACCAAUUCUGGCUACUUAGCUUUACUGUAAACUGCUAUCCAUAAUUUAAUCAAAUUGUACAAUUGCUUCACAUCUCAGCUUUUUCCAUUAAAAAUAAUAUCAUUCCCGGAUAACCAAAUUGACCAAGAUAUUUCAUAGAAGGCUCGUGUCCAAAUUUUCAAACCAUCCUUGUUGAGACACACUAAAAUCCAAGCUAGAAAAAUUUUUUGAGCGUUAAAAGGAGAGACCCAACUAAUGUUCCAAUCUGAUAACCAUAAACUCCAUACAAACCAUGACUCUUCACAAGAAAAAAACAAGUGAUUUAUCAUUUCUGAAUGUCUUCUACAUAACACGCACAACAUUUGAUCUUCUCCAAUUAAAUUUCUUUUAACUAGCUCAGAUUUCACUGCUACUUUUUCCCACAUCAAUUGCCAUACAAAAGCCUUGACUCUAUACGAUGUAUAGCCUAACCAAAUCUUUUUCCAUAGAUCAGUAUCAACAGAAUAAGACAUUCUAGCAAUUCCACAAAAUGACUUAGCAAAAUACAUACCGUUGGGAUUAGCUUUCCAAACAACUCCAUCACUAAUUCCUUCCCUCAGAGUAAAUCUCUCAAGUAACUCCACAAUCGUGUCCAUUGCGCAUAUGCCCACCCAAAAAGCUACCUUCUGAGUUCAAUCUGCCAUUGCCACCCAUCAUUUGUUCAUUGGCCAAACUCAUAGAGUCUACCAUCUUUAUUUUGAGACAAUGCAUAAAGUCUAGGAAAUUCCAAUUUCAAGACAACAUCCUCCACUCAUGCAUCAUGCCAAAAAAGAAUUCAUUUUCCAUCACCUACCGACACUCCUAAAUUAGCUGUAACCUGCAAGAAGAAUUUAUCAAUAGUAAUUAAAGGAGACAUGAUAUGUUUCCAUACCUUAGAGCAAUUACGAGUCGUAGCAUCUCUAGGCAACAAGGCAUUCGGAUCAUAUUCAUUCUUUGUUGCCACGAUUCUCCUUCAUAGAACCUCCCUUUCAAUCCCAUACCUCCAUAGCUAUUUGGACAAGAGACUUUUGUUUUUGAUUUCAAGAUCAACUAGUCCUAAACCCCCCUUAUCCCUCUCUUGGCAAACAUUCUCCCAUUUAAUAAAGUGCACCCCUCUGUUGUGACUAGGCCUCCUUCCAAAGAAAAUUGAAGUUUGUGAAGCUCAUCUUGAAUUUCGCAUGGAAUUUGACACAAAGACAUAGAGUAAAUGGGCAAACUACUAAUCAUUAAUUUUAAGAGAGUUACUCUACCUCCACCUGAUAAUAAUUAAGCUUUUCACCAUUCUAGCUUAUCCUCCACUCUAUCCACAAAAAGGUUCCAAAUCUUCAAUGUUGCCACAUUUAAUCCCAAUGGCAGCCCCAGAUAUGAUGUAAGUAGAUGACCCACUUUAUAAUGAAUUCUAGAACCCCAUGACUCCAUAAUCUCCUUCUGAACGGCAACACCAAAUAAACAGCUUUUCAUAAAAUUAAUCUUAAGUCCAAACAUAAGCUGAAAACUUUUUAUUACUCGCCUCAUAUUCAACAACUCUUGAAGAUUCGGUUUACAAAAAAGCAAGGCAUCGUGGGCAAAUUGCAAAUGUGUCAGGUGGAACCCUUUAUUACCAAUCGACAUACCUUUGCAAAUGUCAAUAUCUUGAGCUUUUCUCAUCAAGCAACUAAAGACUUCCACAACCAGAUUGAAUAAAAACAGAGACAGAGAACAACCUUAACGCAACCCUCUUUGCAAUUUAAUUGGUUUUGUAAGGGAUCAAUUUACAAGGACAAAAACUAAGGCAGAUUUCACAUAACUCAUAACCCAUCUACACCAUUUUGCACCAAAUCCCAUUUUCUCCAAAGUGAACUCCAAAAGCUCCUAACAAACACUAUCAUAAGCCUCUUCAAAAUCUACCUUCAACAAUAAACCCCCCUCAUGGUUUUGAUUCAUAAUAUCUACCAACUCAUUAGCAAUUAGUGCAAAAUCUAAAAGAAAAAAUUGUGAGAAAUAACCUUCCUCAUAAGCCCAAUUCAAAAAUAUCAUUUUUUUUAAUUUUAACUAUUUUUUGUCAAUUUUUGACAUGACUUGACAAUAAUACCCUUUAAACAAUUUCAGACAAAUUAAAAUGGUUUCAGUUUUCUCUCCCGCCAUCCAGAUAAAAUUUCAAAAUUAAAUUUUGAUUUCUCUCUCUGCUCAAAUAUAUCUAUCUAACCAUCCAAUUCACAAAGAUGACAUCAAGCUCUUUCUUAUUUUGUUUUAUUUUUUUAUGUGGUGGAUCUUGGAGUUCUUAAGGGCGAUGAACAGCAAUUUUACUUUUUGCAAGUAGCAAUUUUACUCAGGGAGAAAGAACAGCUAAAGCAUGUUUGAUGGGUUUUAUGAUGGUUCACGAUUUUGUUGUGUUUGGGAUUAGGAUGAUUGUUAAGCAUAUUUGCUAGGGAUUUUGAUUUUUUUUAUGGGAUUUUGAGUUGAAAUUGUUCAGGAAAUAUUUUGUAAAUAGGGUAUAUUUUGUUUUUAUAUAGGGGGAGUGAGCAAGGCCUCCCGAUAGGGAUAUAUUUUCUCUUGCUUUUGAGGGUUAUGGAGUUUUGUAACCUAUCUUUUAUGAAAUGCACAAUUUCAUGACUUAGCAAAAAAAAAUAUAUGUGUUUUAGAUUCUUGAGUUUAUUGAUUUAUUCAUAAAAUCCCAAAAUUGAGAAGUUGAAAUUGAUUAGACUGAUUUUUAAGUAUUAUGAGAUUGAUUUUUAGGUAUUGCGUGAUUUAAUCACUCUGUGACUAGUUUUUAGGCAUUAUGUGAUUGAUUUUAGGCAUUACGUGAUUGAUUUUUAAACAUUGCGUGACUGAUUUUUAAGCAAUACCUAAGUCACGCAAUGCCUUACUAGCUAGUCACGCAAUGCCUUACUAACAAGUUAUACAAUGCCUUACUAACAAGUCACACAAUGCCUAUCAACUAGUCACGCAAUGCCUUAUCAGAAACUAAUCACACAAUGUCUUAUCAAAAACUACUCACGCAAUGCUCAAAAUCAGUCAUGCAAUGCCUUAUCAGAAACUAGUCACGUAAUGCCUUAUCAAAAACUAGUCAUGCAAUGCCCAAAGUCAGUCACAUAAUAUCCAAAGUCAGUCACGCAAUGCCUAAAAACUAGUCACGUAAUUCCCAAAAAUCACCAAAACUACUGAAUUCCAUUUAACAAGAUCAACAACUUCAAACGAUACACUAUAUUCCAUUUAACAACAUAAUUAAUAAAUAUGAAUGCUCAAAAUGUUCAAAAGUUUUUCUUCAUAUAUCAAAAAUCACUCUAAAAUGCUUAAAAAUGCUCAAAACGCUCACAGAUUUUCUUCGUGUAUCAAAAACUAUUCCAAAAAUGCUCAAAAUGCUUAAACGUUUUUCUUUCUAGUAAGGAAUACUCUAAAGAUGAAUAGUCUGGUGAGAAAAGCCUAAAAAAUAUGAGUUAGUUUGAGGCGCAAACCUAAACAUACUUGACCCGUUAAUAGGUUUCGGAUUGAGACGUGGAGCCAAAUAAAUGGGUCAAUUUCAUUAAGAGUAAUUUUAUCCAAAUUUUAAUUCUCUUGGCUAAAAACAGUUAAAAUUAUGAAAAAAUUUAUUGUCAAAAACACAUUAUGCAUGUAGCCCAUUUUACAAAAAAAAAACUCAAUCUAAAAUUUGUCUCCUAGAUAUGAAUGCAAAUUAAUGUUCUCUUAUCACCUCCCAACAACCUUUCUCAACCGAAUGGCCAGAAGUUUCGCAAUUAAUUUAUUAAUACCUCCCACCAAACUAUUGGAUUUAUAAUCUCCAAUUGAACUAGGGUUCCUUUUUUUAGGAAUCAACGUAAUAAAGCUCUCAUUCAUCCCAUAUCCUAAACAUUUAAUGUUAUAGAAAUUUUGAAUAAAAAAAUACAUAUUAUGAUUUUUAUCUUUUAAAAAAUAUUUAAAUAUAUCAAAAUAUCAUAUUAAAUGAUAUUAUUUAAAAAAUAAUCUUCUUUGAAAUUAAACAAAAUGUUAAUGUUAGUACGUUAAAUAUUCGUUAACAAAAUUUGACAAUAGCAAAUAGGUGUACCGCAGCUGUACAUUUAUAAAGAGUGGGAGAAAGUUGUUGACAUUGUGGUAGUUGGUAGUAGCUGGACACGACAGCCUGGGAAAAUCUGUGGCUCAAACUUAGACACGAAUUUCAAAUCAAUUUAAUUUCCUUCCUAAUUUGACCGAAACUUCUUCAACGUAAGAUACUAGUACAAGUUAUUGUAUAGAUGUGGUAGCAAAAAAUGGCUUUUAGCUAAAUUGAGAAAAAAGAAUUUUAGUUUCACUAGUAGAGAAUCAAAAUCCAAAUCAAUUUAAUUUCAAGGAUCAAACCUUGUUCAAUGUAAGAUAUUAGUACAGGUAUUGCAAAAACAAAAAAAAAAACUUUCAAUUGCACCAGUGGAGAAUCGGGAUUGACCAAGUUUCUUCAAUUUAAGAUACUAGUACAAGGUACUACCGGGAAUUGAUCAGGGAUUAUAUGGUGGCAAGGUUUUAUUCUACCACUAGUCCAUUGACGCCCCUUUUGUGAGGUUUGAGCUAUUUCUAUAAUUUUUUUUACAUCAAAAUUUAAGCUAAUUAAAUUAAUUUAAAAUUAUAUUAUACAUCUUAAUAAGAAUAAUGUACCAUAAUCAAAUAUUUCAUUCAAUAAUAAAAACAUCUCUCUUUAAAAAGAUUAAAAAAAAAGUGAAUAUUAGUAUAUUCCUUGAUAAGCAAAACAUUUUUGCUCUUCAAGAUUAUUAGUAUUAUCAUCAAAUGAUCCAGACAGGGUCCAAAAUUUUGUUUUUCCCUUGAAAUAAAAAUAAAAAUUAUUUUAUUAAUAUACCUUCAAUACCAUAGUAGUAAGGAGAACGUAGGAAUAUUUUCCAAACUUUUGCAUCUCCAUAAAUCAAGUGAAACAUCCUAUUAAUCACUUUGGAAUAGCCCUCGCUUUCAAGAUCUUCGCUCUAAGCUUUACACCAAACUCUGCAAGCUUGUCAGCCUCAGGCAUAACAUCCUUCACAGCCACAUGAGAGGAGAACCUAUGAGCCCACUCGAGCAAGCAACGUGUCUUGGCUUCAGUAAGCAGCUUCAUCUCACUAAUCUUCUCUAUGACUUUUAACCAGACCAAGAAUGACCCGAGUGCAAUGUCCAGGUACCCGAUUUGGUCCCCACCAAAGAAAGGUUUACCUUGGCUCAACUUUCCAAAUACUUCCUCCAACAGCACCAGCCCUUCUUCCACUUGCGCUAUGGCUGCCUUUUUAGCAUCCUCCGAUUCAGCAGCCAACACUCCUCUCAAGGCAGGGAACCACUAUACCACGGAAAAACAAGAAAAAAGAAACAACUAUGAGAAUCUUUUCAAUCAAAAACGCCAAGGUGAGACAUAAUAAACUGUAGUCAACAACGGUAGGAUCAUUCAUAUGAAGAAAUACAAACCUUUUCGUCAAUAUAGGCAGCCCAAAAUCGAGAAUUGGCACGUUCAUAAGGAUCGGAAGGAAGAAUGGAAGGGCCAGAGGACCAGACCUCAUCGAUGUAUUGGACAAUGAUGAGAGACUCACAGAUCGGCUUGUCACCAUGUAAGAGAACUGGGACUUUCUUGAAAACAGGGUUUGAUUUGAGUAGUAGCUCGCUUUUGGAUUCCAAUAGAUUUUCCUCGAUGUACUCGUAGUUUACAGAUUUCAGGUGAAGGGCAAUUCUUGGCCGCAGCACAAACGGGCUUGGCCAUGAACCCAACACUUUCACGUCACUCAAUGCCAUGUUCUUUCCCUUCGCACCCACAAACAAACCGCCAAGAAUAUGUUAUAUCCCCUGCGCACACAAGUGCUAUAUAUAAAGUGACCUAUUUGAGAGUUGGUCUGAUGAUCAAGCGCAAGUGUGAACAUGAGCUUUCUUUUCUGUAUUCAAUCCUAGCCUUUAAUGACAAUGAAUAAUGUUUUUUGAUUUUUCUUUUACAAAAAGAAGAGGAAAGAAAAUUCAAACUCUUUGAAUCCACAAAAUAUACAGCGCAUGUCAUUGAACCAAAUAUUAAAAUACAAUAACGUUUUCAUAUUUAACAUAUUGAUCUAUAGUAAAUCCAUUUAUUUUAAAGGUAUUAUAUGAAAAUAUUUUACCAUCACAUAGAGAGUGCCAAUAACUUUUGCCAAUAGCUUUCAACUUAGUUAAAGAAAGUGGGCUAUUGCAAUAAAUUGGCCAGACUGUGUAAAGGACAGGCUGUAUGGCUAAUUAGGACUUUUGAUCCCUGUGAGUUAAUACGUGAUGAAGAAAUAUCAUGAAUGUUAAAUAAGGUAGUUGACCCGCUCGCAUUAUAUGAUUUUCAAUUUUUCAGCAAUAUAGGCAGCCCCAAAUUGCAACACUGUUUGGUCUACAAUCCACAUUUGGCCAAGAAAGAAGUAAAGGUUCAAGCCUAUAGACUUCUUCUUUUACAAUGACAAUUAAUGGAAACUAGGAUCGACAACAAUUCUUCCAUUUACCCGUGGCUGCUUAUACUUCAUUUCCUCAAUGAUAUUGGAUUCAAGCAAAUUUCAACAUCAGUGCUGCCCUAGUUUGGGGUUAAAACAACCCAUUUGCGACUAAAUUUUUACUAUCAAAAAUUAAAAUUCUUUCACACCAAGUGUGUCCUUGGCAUAAAAACCAAACUUUUGUAAGAUUAACUUCUUUGUAAUGUUUAGUAAAGACUUGGAGUCUUUUAUAUAAUUUGAUAGAAGACGAUGGUAUUUCUUGAUCUUCAUGUCAAUAAUUUUUUUUAAUUAUUUGCCUGAUGAAAAUAGGUUUUAUUGAUUUUUUUUUCAUUGAUUGUAGGAUCACAUUUUUUUAUUUUUCUUUUUUUAAAAACAAAAGAAACCAGCAUUGCGUAAUCAAGAAUGUCAUCCGCCAAGACAGAAUAAGAUUGUACAAGUACAACUAGUCAAAGUCAAAUUGUUGAAAAUUGGAAGCCAUCAGGUAGUUGCUGACCAAUGUUUAUAUACGUUGAUAAUAAUGCGAUGCUCUUCCCAUCAGGGAUCGCCUUCAACAAAGCACCCUUUCGUUUUUUCUUUGUUUUCUUAGGAUAGAUUUGAACUCAAACUCUGUGUUUCAUAAGACUAGAAUUUCAAACUUUUAAUGAAUCUCGCUUAUUUUUCAAUUACUUGUCUAAAUCUUUUAACAAUUUUAUUUACAUAAGGACAAGGGUGUCGAUAUUUACAAUUUUCAAUCUUAAAACGUUUUUUCUUAAUUAAAGUAAAAUAUUGAUUAGAUUUGUUUACAGAUCCAGAUUUUAUAGAUGGCAAAUGAGUUUGGUCCGACUCCAUCUAGGUAUAAUUUUUAAAUUGUUUUACUUUUUUUCUAUUUUCUCUUUCUUUUCCUUCCUCUUACUUCUCGCUCAUAUCGAAAAGUAUAAUGGUUCUUGAUUUAAAAAUUAAAUUGAAAGAACAACUAUAAAAGAAAGAUAAUAACAAUAAAGAAAAUAUUUAGAGAGAGUAUAAAGAUCUUAUUGAAGUAAGUAUUUUACAAAUAAAGUGAGGAGCCUAUUUAUAGACUAACAACUAUAAUUGUCAAAAUGGGUUUAGCCCAUUAAGUCAGCUCAUUUUUUAUUAAAUAUGAGGUGAGUUAGGUUUGAAAAUUUAGGUCCAUAUUUAAACAGGACCUAAAUGGGCCAGCCCACCAAAUUAGUGUGUUGGGGUGGGCUAGGGCGAGCUAGCCCUAUGGGCCAAAAAAAUUAAUAAUUUUACAUAUUUAACUAUAUAAAAUUAAUAAUUUAGUUACAAAUAAUGUUACUUAUUUUAUAUAUUUCAAUGUGUUUAAUUUUUACUUAUCAAAUUAAUAAUUUUAAUUUAUGAAUUAAAUCAUAAAAUAAUUUUAUUAAUAGAAAAUUUAUUAAGUAAAAUUAUAAAAAUGAUUUUUUUUUUUUUUGCAAAACAAGGAAAUGGGCUGGCUUAACCCAGCCCAUGGGCUAGCAAAGGGUGGACUGGAUUGAGGUUUUGAUGGCUUAUAUAAAAAAUAGGCUGGCCUGGCCCAACUUAUAUUUUUUUAGCCCACAAGUGCUUGGGUUGGGUUGGGCUGGGCCAAGCCAGCCCAUAUUGACAACUCUACUAACAACCCUUUAAAUCAAAAUCUAAUCUAAUUCAAACUAAGAGUUCAAAUCAGAUUACAGUUUUUGUAUAUGGCUUGUUGGGUUGUUUGACUUGGUCUGAACUUUUUGUAUCAUAACAUAAUAGACAUUCACACAUAUUUCAUAACACUCCCUUUUUAGUGUCCAUCGCAUUAAGAAUAUACUUCGUUAAAACUUUACUAAAAAAAGACCUUAUAGAAAAAUCAGAGUAAAGGAAAAAAAGUAUAUAAUUCUUUUCAAUAAUAUGCUUUUGAAAUACUACCUCAUUAAAAACUUAUCAAGAAAAACCUAGUGAGAAAAACCUUGAUAAAGGAAAAGAGUACAAUGUGUAUUUUACUCUCCCUGAUGACUGUAUUAUUUAAGAUUUUUAAAAUGACACAUUCCAAUCUUUUGUACCAACUUUGCAAAUGUUGUAGUAAGAAGAGCUUUGGUAAACUGCUAGAUUGUCACUUAACCAAAUUUGUUGAAUACUAAUAUCCCCUUUUUCUUGAAGAUCAUGAAUGAAGAACAAUUUUGGUUCUGUUCUAAUGCCUUUAAUGUAUCAUUCCUUUAAUUUUCUAUGCAAACUGUAUUGUACUUAUAUAAUGUUGUUAGAAUUUCCUUCUUAGUUGACAAGCCACAUAUUUCUCGAAUAUAUUGAGUUACAAAUCUUAACCAGACACAUUCACGACUUGUUUCAUAAAUUGCAAAAAUUUUUGCAUGGCUAGAAGAAGUAGCAAUUAUAGUUUGUUUUGCAUAAUGCCAUAAAAUAGACGUACCUCCAUAUGUGAAUAAGUAACUUGUCUAAGAUCAAGCUUCGUGUGGAUCAAAUAAACAACAUACAUCUGCAUAACAAAUUAAAUUUGAUUUUGAUACAUUUGAGUAAUAAAAGCUUAUGUCCGUUGUUUCUCGAAGAUAUCAAAGUGUAUGUUUAAUUCCAUUCUAAUAUCUUCAAGUUGGAGAAUAACUAUAUCUUGCUAAUAAAUUUACAGUAAAUGAUACAUCAGGUUGUGUAUUACUAGCAAGAUACAUUAGUGCUCCAAUUGCACUAAGAUAUGGUACUUCAAUACUAAGUAGUUCUUCAUCAUCCUCACGAGGUCAAAAUGGGUCCUUUUUCACAUUUAAUAACCUUGCAAUCACUAGUGAACUCAAUAGAUGUGCUUUGCCCAUAUAAAAUCGUUUUAACAUUUUUUCUAUAUAAGUUGAUUGAUGGACAAAAAUUUCAUUUGUUAAGUGUUUAAUCUGAAGAUCCAAACAAAACUUUAUUUUUGCAAGUUCUUUUAUCUCAAAUUCUUUCUUUAAGUAAUCCAAGGCUUUUGAUAACUCGUCAGGAGUUCCAAUAAUGUUUAGGUCAUCAAAAUAUACAGCAAUAAUCACAAAUUCAGAUUUGGAUCUUUUUAUAAAAACACAUGAGCAUAUAGGAUCAUUUUUAUAGCCUUUUUUCAACAAAAAUUCACUAAGGCGAUUAUACCAUAUGCAUCCGAAUUAAUUUAAUCCAUAUAAAGGUUUAUUUAAUUUGAUUGAAUAUAUUUCCUAAGAAUGCAAAUUUUGUGUUUCAGGCAACUUCAAUCUUUCAGGGAUUUUCAUAUAGAUAUUGUUAUCAAGUGAAACUUAUAAAUAGGUUGUAACUACAUCCAUCAAAUAUUGAAAUGUAAUUGCAUCCACCAUAGGAAAAUAUGUUUCUUUAUAAUCAAUACGAGAUUUUUGGAUAAAAUUUUGUGCGACAAGCCAUGCUUUUAUAUCUCACAAUUUCAUUUUUCUCAUUUCAUUUUUGUUCAAAUAUCCAUUUAUAUCCCAUUAAUUUUACACCAUUUGGUGUAUGGACUAUAGGUCUAAAAACUUCAUGUUUUGCAAGUGAAUUUAAUUCUACUUUGAUUGCGUUUUUUCACAUUGACCAAUCAUUUCUAUGUCUACAUUCUUCAACAGAUGUAGGUUCAAGAUCCUCAUUUUCUUUCACAAUAUUGAGCACUGCAUUAUAUGCAAAAAUAUAGUUAAUGUCUAUAUCAUUCUGAUUCUAUCUUUUUCCCAUCAUGACAUAAUUUAUUGAGAUCUCUUCAUUUUCAUUGAUUUCAGGUACUUGAAUUUCUUUUAGAGUUAUGUCAAGAGUCUCUUCUAAAGUUUUUAUUUCCUCUUUCUAACCAUCUUGAAUAUUUGUUAUUUCCUCUUUUUCAUAAUUUUUAUCUUGGGAACCGAUUGAUCUCUCACGCUUCUGGUGUACCUUAGACUCAUUGGCAAUAACAGAUUGUCUUAUUGGGAUAUGAAUUCUAAUUAGAGCAUUUGUAGAUGGUAUAUGAGAUUUAGUUACUCUCUUUAGGUCAAUAAAUGUGUCUAGCAACUAACUUGUUAUAUUUUGCAAAUUAAUUAGUUUUUGAACUUCUUGUUUACAUUGAUUUGUGUGAGGAUCAAAACUAGAUAAUGAUAAUACAUUUCAAGAUAUUUCUUUUUUCAGCUACUUAUUUUAUCCCCCUAAUCUUGGAAAAAUUGUUUCAUCAAAUGACAAUCAGCAAACCUUGCCAUGAAUAAAUCUUUUAUUGAAGGUUUUAGAUAUUUAAUUAUAGAUAGAGAUUCAUAUCUAACAUAUAUUCCUAACCUUAUUUGAGAACCCAUCUUUGUACUUUGUGAUGGAGCAAUUGGAACAUAUAUCGCACAUCUAAAAAUUUUUAGAUAAGAAAUAUUUGGUUCCUAAUCAUAAACCAAUUGUAUUAGGAAGAAUUUAUGAUAACUUGUUGGCCUGAUGUGUACAAGUGUUGCUACAUGCAAAAUGGCAUGUCCCCAAACAUAAAUUAGGAGUUUAGAUUUUAUAAGUAAUGCCUUGGAAAUCAAUUUGAGGUAUUUAAUAAAUGAUUCCACUAGACCGUUUUGUGUAUGAACAUUAGCAGUAGGUUAUUCAACAAUUAUUCCAAUUGACAUGCAAUAUUCAUUAAAAGCUUGGGACGUAAAUUCACUAACAUUGUCAAUAUUUAUUGUCUUGAUUGCAUAAUAAGAAAAAUGUGCUCACAAAUGAAUGAUUCGUGCAAGUAAUCUUGCAAAUGCCAAAUUGCAAGUUAUUAAUAGAUAGUUCUUGCCAGUAAUAUCAAGGCCCACAAAUUCAAGCUUUGAAAGAUUCGACAUGGUGAUAGCUUAAAAGAAAAACAUAAUUAUUAGUAUUACACAAAAUAUCGUUAGUGGCAAGCAAAACAAUAAAUUGGCUAAAGAAAAACAAUAUAUUGGUAAAAUAUGGGCAAAACAAUAAAGUGACAAUACAUAAUAAUUGAAUUAAAAAAAUUACCUGAAGAAAAAUUAAACUUUGACUUUGGGAUAAUGAUGAAAAACUAAAUGAUACGUAAGCUUAAGAGAUUAGGGAAUCAUGCUGAUAACAUGUUAUAAAAUAUAAACUAAAAGAACAAUUAUAAAAGAAAGAGAAUAACAAUAAAGAAAAUAUUUAUAGGGAAUAAGAAGAUCUUACUGAAGUGUGUAUUUUACAAAUGAAUUGAGGGGCCUAUUUAUAGGCUAACAACCCCUUAAAUCAUAAUCCUAAUCUAAUUCAAUAUAAAAGUUCAAAUCAGAUUACAGUUCUUGUAUAUGGUCUGUUGGGUUGUUUGACUUGAUAUGAACUUCUUGGGUCAUAAUAUAAUGGACAUUCACACAUAUGUUUAUAACAAUUCCUUCUUUUUCCUCCCUUUCUUUUGCUAUCUCUCCAUCCUUCGAUCUCACACACCACCAAGACACCAACAUAUAGUGAAUUUUUCAACAAAAACUACAAAAAAUUGAUAAAUUUACAAUAUUUUAAUAAAUUUAGAAGAGCUUGGUUAAUUAAAUUUAAACAUGAUCUCAUAGGAGCUUGGUCGAAAGAAUACAAAAACCUACCUAAAUACAAAAAAAAUAUAUACUAGUUUAAUUAGAAUAUUAUUACAUAAGUUUUUUAGAUUUUUUUCACUACAAAAUUAUGAGCUUUUUUGGAUUGUUAAUAAAAUAAUCCUAAAUAAUUUAUUUUUUUCAUUGAAUUUUCUUUUUUUCAUCAUUAUAUGUCUCUUUUUUAUUUUUUUUAAGGUGAUAAAUGUUGAAUAAAAUAUAUUUUCAUUAUUAUUUAACUAAAUUAGAUUGUUAUUUUUUUUUAUUUUUCACUUAUUUUGAGAGCAAUUAUGACUUUUCAUAAUGGUAAAUAGUUGUUAACUAAUGGUAAUAAAAAGGAAAAAGUCAAGGGCCUAAUUAAGCAUUUUGAAACUACAGAGACCAAAGUGUACUUUAGAGGUGUAUUGAGGUGAUUUUUGUAUUUUACCCAAGACAUACACAAAUAAUUUACUAUAAUUAUGAACCAUUAUAAAAAUCAUUUGCAAUGCUUCUAGGUUUCUAAUUAAAUUGUUUUAGUUUUUACUUAAAAACUAUAUUAGCAAAUUUAAUGCUUUCGUUACCAUAGUUCUAAUCAAAUUUAAUUUCAAAUCUACUCCUUUCUAGAUAAAUCUUAGAUCUAAUUAAAUUAUCUACAUAAUCUACAAUUUUUUUGAAAAUUAAAAUUAUAAAAGGUUUUUUUAUACUUAACGCCAUCAUUAUUAUAAGUAGUGCUUCAUCCCAAACUUUGAAACAUUAUAUCUAUUAGCAUUUUUUAUAGAGUCCUUUCUACUCAUGAAAAUUACUUUUUCUUAAUGAUGAAAAUUUUCAUUUUAUUAUGUAACUAAAUUAUGCAAAAUCUGUGGUGUUAUCAUCCAAAAGUUUCAAUAAAUUUAUAUGGAUUUGUUUAACAUUUCAAUUUCAUUAAUUUUCAAUUGUAUUAGUUAAAAUUUAUUUUGUGUUACUUUUGUUAUAACUUUUUGCACUCUUUUAAUUAAUAAAAGUUUUUAUUUAUGCAUAAGGUAAUUUUUAAUAUUUGUGAAAUUUAUUCUUGUUUUGAAAUGACAAAAUUGAUUGAACUAAAGAGCUUAGAAAAUGAAUGAAAGAUACUUUCAAAUAUGAAGAAAAUCCUUAAAGGUGUUUUGAAGCUGAAGUUAAGAGAAAGAUAUAUUGAAUUGCUAAUAUUGAUUGAACAUGCUUUAAAUGUGAAUGAUCAUGCUCUUGAACUUAAAGAAAUGUCUCUUAGUUUCUCCUAAAGAUUUCUUGUUUUCAAAUUCAAAGUGCCUGCCUAAGAAUCAAAUUCUUAAAAGAAAAGACUUGAUUCUUAAAUGAGGAGAAAGCAAAAUUUAUUUUUUUAUCACAAGAAUAAUUGAUUUUGUAGAAGGAGAAGUCAGUUCUUAAGCAUAGAUCAACAGUAAAGAAUCGAUUUUGAGAAAAGAAAAAGUUAGUUCUUGAAAGACAGAAACUUCAGGAUUUGUGAAGAACCGACACCUCAAAGAAAAAGAAUCAAUUCUAAAAGGACGAAAUGUAAAAAGCAAAAAUGCAAAGAAGAAAUGUCUAUUCUACAUGGAGGAGAUAUCAGUUCUUGAAGCACUAAAAGCAAGAUUCAGAAACUUGGUGACCAAGAAAGAGAUAGUACAAUUGGAAAAGAUUGGAGCGCCAAAAAUCAAGCUCAAAUUCAAAAUUUAGUGCUAGACCAUAGUGAAAAAUUGAUACCUUGAGGUGGACAAACCGAUUCUCCAAGGUUGCAAAGGUGACACCUUUUAAUCCAAUUGUAAAAAAACCAACAUCUUAAAAUAGAAGAAUUGAUUCUCUAAAGACAGAAAGUUUCAGACUUUCUGAAGAACCGACAACUCAAGAGCAAAGAAUUGAUUUUACAUAUGCAACAGAAUUAUGCAAGUUGGUUGGAACAUAUAAGAAGUGAUUCAAAUUUCACUCCAACGAGCAAAAAAUCACAGAGGCUAUAAAUACCUACCUAAAUGACGCUCAAGCAAGGAACUUGAACGAAUUUGAAUCACCUUUGAAAAAGAAAAGAGUGAAAAAACAAGAAAAAGAGUUGUGAGCAAAAGAAUCCUAUCUUUAAGCUAGAGUUGAACUUAAAGAUCAUAUUUUUUUCAGUUGAUACUUCUUGACCUUAAACCUUCUUUCAUCAUUCAUAUUUUUUGAAGAAGCUCUCACCUUUUUGAUCCAAAACUUUCUUAUCAACCUUGUUAAUGGUUUUGAGCUAAAGGAUCUUAAGAAUCCACUGUUGUAUUGGUUAUAGCUCCAAGCAAAAGGUAAAAGGGUUUUUUCUGAUCUUUUAAAAGGUUGUAUCUUGUGUAAAGGGUUUACUUGAACCUAAAAAAGGUAGUGUCUUGGUAGAGGGUACACUUGAUCUUGUAAAAUGUAUGUUGUGAAGGUUAUGCUUAAUCUUGUUAAAAGGCAUGUUGUAAAAGUUACGCCUGAUCUUAUUGAAAAGGCAAGCUGAUAAUAGAUUUGAACUCCUUAUGCUAUCAAAGGAGAAGAUGUAGGCAUUGGAAAACCGAACCUCCAUAAAAAUCCUACUGAAUACUUUUUAUUUUUCUGUUCUUUACUUAUUUAUUUCGUACUCCGUUUUACUGUUCUAUUUUCUCAUAUUUAUGUUUCAUCUUCAAAGCUUCACGGUUCAUUUUUUCCUAAUCUCAUCUACUAUUUCAUAAAUUUCAACUAGAAUCUUGUUAUUACCCAUAAUUUCUGUCUCUAGGACUUCUGUCCUAACCAGCAACUUAUCCAUCAACCCACGCAUGUCUUUCUCCAUAUUCUCAAUUUGGUCUAUCAACUUGACCAGAUAUGUUGCAAUAUUGUCGAGGAUAUCUUCCUCUUCAGCAGCAACCCCCCUCCCACUUUCGACUCUAUAACGUUUGGAUGCCAUUAGAAUUUUGAGAUUUUCCUUCAAAUGAUUUUUAUUAAAAUGGAUAAUGGUUCUUUUUAUUUAUAUGCAUGGAUGUUGACUCUUGGAAGGGUAUUCAAUGGUUUUAGGCUUGUUUUUUGAUGAAUAUGGUUAGUUCGUAAAUAAUGCAUUAAGUGCUUUAAAGAGAAUUUCAAAGUUCUUUGUCAAUCGAAUCUGGAUGGUUUUCUGCACCAAUAUAAGUAGAAUUAAGGGGGCUGAAUUAGUUAUUAAGCAUUCCUAAUUCUCUUCUAAUUUUACAAAAUUUGUUAUUAAAGGGGCUAAAUUAGUAAAUAAUCAACUUCAACAUUAGGUAGAUAAAGCAAAGCAAUUCCCAAAACUAGUCACACAAUGCCUACAAACAAGUCACGCAAUGCCUACAAACCAGUCACGCAUUGCACAACUCACGUAAUUCUUAAAAUCUAGUCUCAAAUUGCCUCCUAUCUAGUUCCACAUUGUCUAAUAUUCAAUCACGUAAUGCCAAAUAAAUAGGUUACGAUUCUUAAUAUCCAGUCACACACCCUAAUAUCCAGUGACGCAAUUCCUAACAAAUAUUCACGCAUUGCCUAUAAACUGAUUGAUUUCGCUACUCUCAGCCAGAUUUAAGUUUCCAAAGUCAUAUAAUUUACCCAUCAACUUUUUCGUUCAAUGAAUAUAAAAAAAUAAACCCAAGAACCCAUAACAAAUACUUUGAUGUCAUCUCUACACUUUGGGAUGGUGAUAUAGAACUCGACGGCAUUGGAGAGCUAGACGACGAGAUAUAUUCCACGAUAGGGUCAGAGACUUGGAUAGAGAGAUAGCUAAUUUGAGAUUUAAUUUUAAAAUUUUUAUCUAAAUGGCGGGAAAGGAGAAAGAAACUGGGACCACUUAAUUGGGAUUAAAUGGUUUAAAUGGUAUUCUUGUUAAGUCAUAUAAAAAAUUAUCUAAAAACAGUUAAAAUUAUAAUGAAGGUCAUUUCUGAAGUGACAUUAUUAAGAAGGCUAUUUUUCACAAUUUUCUCUUUAAGAUACUAGUGCAAGGUAUUAUCGGGAAUUGAACAGGGAUUAUAUGGUGGCAAGGUUUUAUUCUACCACUAGUCCAUUGAAGCCCCUUCUGUGAGGUUUGAGCUAUUUCUAUGUUUUUUUAACAUCAAAAUUUAAGCUAAUUAAAUUGAUUUAAAAUUAUAUUAUACAUCUUAAUAAGAAUAAUGUACCAUAAUCAAAUAUUUCAUUCAAUAAUAAAAACAUCUCUCUUUAAAAAGAUUAAAAAAAAGUGAAUAUUAGUAUAUUCCUUGAUAAGCAAAACAUUUUUGCUCUUCAAGGUUAUUAGUGUUCAAAACUUUUUGUUUUUUCCUUGAAAUUAAAAUAAAAAUUAUUUUAUUAAUUUACCUUCCAAUGCCAUAGUAGUAAGGAGAAAGUAGGAAUAUUUUCCAAACUUUUGCAUCUCAAUAAAUCAACUGAAACAUCCUAUUAAUCACUCUGGAGUAGCCCUCGCUUUCAAGAUCUUGGCUCUAAGCUUUACAGCAAACUCUGCAAACUUGUCAGCCUCAGGCAUAACAUCCUUCACAGCCACAUGAGAGGAGAACCUAUGAGCCCACUCGAGCAAGCAACGAGUCCUGGCUUCAGUAAGCAGCUUCAUCUCACUAAACUUCUCUAUCACUUGUAAACAGACUAAUAAGGACCCGAGUGCAAUGUCCAGGUACCCGAUUUGAUCCCCACCAAAGAAAGGUUUCCCUUGGCUCAACUUUCCAAAUGCUUCCUCCAACAGCACCAGCCCUUCUUUCACUUGCGCUAUUGCUGCCAUUUUAGCAUCCUCCGAUUCAGCAACCAACACUCCUCUCAAGGCAGGGAACCACUAUACCACGGAAAAACAAGAAAAAAGAAACAACUAUGAGAAUCUUUUCAAUCAAAAACGCCUAGGUGAGACAUAAUAAACUGUCGUCAACAACAGCAGGAUCAAUCAU
rnacentral:lncRNA from 1 species